AAAUAGAAAGUUGUCAAAUAACUUGACACUUCGUCAUGAGAUGAGGUAUUAGGUGGAGCUCUAUAACUCUAAUUUGGGCUUGUGUAGCUUUCUUUGUAAAUAAAGGGUUCCAAAUCUUUCCCUUUUGGGUAGCAUUUGCAAUGGCCUUCUCUCCUGUCUUUUCAAGCCGUUGGAUCAUGUUGCGCAUCUGCUUUUCCCUAUCUUCAUUGUUGCUUUGCCAUUGCAUUUCGCAAUGGAACCAUUGACACUGAUUUCACAAAGAAAGCUGAUAGAAAUUAGGGAUUAAUUUAAUUAUUACCAAAUACCAAAAUACCGAACUCUACUACUGGUGAAAAUAAAUCAAAAGCUCCCUUCCGUUGGCUUUUAUUGAUCUCUCCCAAAAGUUGCUUUUCUGUAUCCAAAUUCUUAAUUGCAUGUAACAUGUGGAAUAAAUGCUCUGAAUCAAUUAUCUGGAAUAAAUACUUUGAAUCAAUUACCUUGUGAAUUAUUAUUUAUUUAUUUACUUUUUAUUAUUCUUCUGGGCCUGCACUGGUCAACUAUGGCAUUGUUCAAUUUGAUAAGGAAUGAGGAACAUUGACAUGUCGCAAAUGAAAAAAUAAAAAAGUAAUCAAAAUUAAGACAAAUGUUAAGUUACAUUUAAUAUAAUUCACACCCAUUUGCAUAAACAGUAUGUGGUGGGUGUGAGGUUUGCUGGUGAAUUAAACUCAUCAGCUCUAAACGGUGGCGUUUUGGCAAAUAGAAGAGCACUUAAAACUCACGGGAAAAGCACGUGUGUGGUCACUUAUGUUUGGAGCUUUAAACGGCAGUUCAAUCGUGUCGUUUAGAGAAGGCUUUUAAGUGAUGCACAAGACAGCCGUGUGAAGCAACUUUACUCAGUUCGUUAAGUUUGUUAUGCUACGUGUAAGCAUACUGUUCGAUCUAGGUUUAGGUUGGGUGGUUGCUCUGUUAGCUUUAAGAACAAACUGGUGUAACAGUUGUGGGUUAAGCGUGUGUAUCCAUAUUGAGAGAGAGAGAGAGAUCAGGGGAUGUGUGAUAAGGGUUCUCUGAUAUCUUGUAAACAAAUCUCUAUAAUUGGGAUCCUCCAUUGUUGAGUAAUAAGGGCUCUGUAGAAAGCUUCUCCUGUGGAUGUAGGUUGUGCCAUUUGGUGCAACUGAACCACGUAAUUUAUUCUUGUGGUGUUUGUGGUUGUGUCUUUUCUUGUUUCAACUCUUCUAGUUCUUGGGUUACAUUGGUUUUUUAUCUGGAUUCAUCCUUCAAUUUGUGUAUCUUAGGUAGUUCUUUAUCAAAGGUCCUGGGAGGUGUUUUUGUCUUGCACUUUAAAGAGCAAAUUCAAACAUUGCAAUUGGUAUCAGAGCCUGGUAUCUUUUGAUUAAGACCAAGAAUGGCCACACCGAAGAUAGAUCUAGAAAAGUUCAAUGGCAAAAAUGACUUUAACAUGUGGAAAAUCAAAAUGGAAGCCUUGCUUAUCACUCAAGGUUUGGGAGAUGCAAUUGAACCUAUUUCCAAGAAUGAGGGAAAAAAAGUCUCAUCUUCCAAGACUCCAGAGGAAACAUCAAAAAUAGAUAACAAGGCCAAGAGUAUUAUUAUCCUCAGUCUUGGAGAUGCUGUUAUCAGAGAGGUGGCUAAAGAGAAGACGGUUGCUGGAUUAUGGGCUAAAUUAGAAAGUAUCUACAUGACCAAGUCACUUGCAAAUCGUCUCUACAUCAAGAAAAGGAUGUUCACUAUGAAAAUGGUGGAAGGGUCAUCAUUGGAUCAUUAUAUAGAUGAAUUUAAUAAGGUUUGUAAUACCUUAAAAUCUAUUGAUGAGGGUCUAAAUGAUGAAGGUAAAGCACUUCUUUUAAUAAGCUCCUUACCGAAAUCAUAUGAGCAUUUUGUGGAUGCCUUGAUGUAUGGAAGGCAAACUUUGACUCUUGAUGAAGUUAAGGUUGCCCUUAACACUAGAGAGUUACAAGGAAAACAAUAUGCAGUAGAGAAUGGUAAUGGUGAAGGUUUAACAGCAACGUGCAAAUUUGAUAAAAAAGAUUAAAAGAAAAAGAAACAAGGGAAGCAGAAAAACAAACAAAAGGGCUGGAAAUGUUUUCAGUGUCACAAAGAAGGACAUCUUAAAAAGGAUUGCCCUGAAAGGAAGUUUAAGCCAAAAGACUCGAAGAAUCAUAGUGGAGAUGCAGCCAUAGUUGAAGAGGAAGGAUAUGAGUCAGCAGGUGUGUGUGUGUGUGUGCGUGUGUGUGUAGCAACUGAUUGCAGCCAAAAAGGUAAAUGGAUCUUGGACUCUGGAUGCACUUUUCAUAUGACCCCUUUUAGGGAUUACUUUACAUAAUACCAUGAAUUUCAUGGGGGUAGGGUAAUGAUGGGGAAUAAUGCCAUGUGUAGAGUCAUUGGUAAUUGUACUAUUAAGCUUAAGUUAAAGGAUGGAACUCUGUUGAUGAUUAAACAGGUAAGACAUGUGCCUGACCUUAAAAAGAACCUUAUCUCCUUGGGAAUGUUUGAUCAAAUGGGGUACAACAUUAGGCUUGAAUCUAGUGAUCUAAGGGUAAUGAAUGGCUCUAAAACUGUUUUAAAAGGGAAUAAAAAGAAUAGAGUGUAUGUCCUAGAUGGAGAGAUCAUAGCUGGUGAAUCAGGUUUCUCUGGAAGUAUCAAAACUGAUAACACUAGGUUAUGGCACCUUAGGAUGGGUCAUAUCAGUGAGAAUGGGUUAAAGGAGUUAGAGAAACAAGGUGUAUUAGGCAAAGAUAAAAUUGGAAGUCUAGGUUUUUGUGAAGACUGUGUGUUUGGCAAAUCUUCAAGAGUAAGCUUUAAGAGAUCAAACCAGAAGUCAGAAAAUGUCCUAGACUAUAUACACUCAGACCUCUAGGGACCAGCUCAUGAGUUAUCUCUGGGAGGGAAUAGAUACUUUGUAUCUUUCGUUGAUGAUUUUUCAAGGAAGGUCUGGACUUAUACUUUAAAACAUAAGGAUCAGGUGUUUGAAAAAUUUAAGGAAUAGAAGAGCUUGGUUGAGAAUCAAACUGGUAAGAAAGUUAAGAAGCUGAGGACAGAUAAUAGGUUGGAAUUUUGCAAUCAACAGUUUGGGAGUUAUUGUGCAAAUGAGGGCAUAAUGAGGCACAGGACAGUAAAGUUUACACCCCAAUAAAAUAGGUUAGCUAAAAGGAUGAAUAUGACACUUAUGGAGAAAGUAAGAUGUAUGCUUAUUCAAUCCAGGCUUCCCAACUCCCUGUGGGCAGAGGUACUGAUGACAACCACUAUUUGGUGAACCUCAGUCCCUCAUCAGCACUAGACUUUAAGACACCUUUUGAAAUAUGGCAUAGUAAACCAGCAAGCUAUGAAGGCCUCAGAGCAUUUGGUUGUUCAGCCUAUGCUCAUAUAAAACAAGGAAAGCUUGCACCAAGGGCAUUGAAAGGAGUCUUUGUGGGUUACCCAGAAGAGGUGAAGGGUUACAAGAUCUGGUGCACUGACAUAAAACCCCCAAAGUGUAUAAUCAGCAGGGAUGUAAUCUUCAAUGAAGAUGAGUUGGUAGGAAAAACUCAACCAGCUGAAGUUACCAACUUAAACUCAAAGCCUCUUGAGAUGUUGGAAUUUGAGGUGGAACAUCUUGAUCAGAGGAACACAGAAGAAGCAACAUGGUUUGAAGAUGUUGAAGAUGACUCAGGAAAAGCACAAGCACCUCAGCAACAAGUGGAGACAGAUUUAACUCCUCAGGAAUCAGACUAUCAACUUACCAGAGAUAAGAAGAAAAGGCAAAUCAAACCAACAAAAAGGUUUGGCUAUGCAGACUUAAUUGCUUUUGCUCUAGCUGCAGCACAUGAUAUAGCUGAUGAAGAACCAAAGACCUUUAAGGAGGCAUUACAGAGCUCAAAUAAAAAAGAAUGGUUGUCAGCAAUGGAUGAUGAAAUUGCUUCUUUGUACAAAAAUAAAACUUGGGAAUUGGUAAAGAAGCCAGUGAACAGAAGAGUGGUUGGAUGCAAAUGGAUCUACAAAGUCAAUGAAGGUUUAACUCGGGCAGAACCAAGGAGGUUUAAAGCAAGACUUAUAGCAAAUGGGUAUACUCAAAGGGAAGUGAUUGACUUUAAGGAGGUAUUCUCUCCAGUGGUCAGACAUGCUUCAAUAAGGGUGAUCUUGGCCUUAACAGCAGUUGAAGACAUGGAGCUUGAUCAACUCGAUGUCAAGACUGUAUUCCUACAUGGGAGGCUGCAAGAAGAGAUAUUCAUGAGUCAACUAGAGGGGUAUGAAGACCCUAAGAGAAAGGACUGUGUUUGCUUGUUAAAGAAAUCACUCUAUAGGCUGAAGCAAUCCCCUAGGCAAUGGUACCUCAGGUUUGAUGAGUUCAUGGUGUCUAAUGGGUUCAUAAGGUGCAAUUAUGAUUGAUGUGUUUAUUUCAAACUAGUAAAUGGCAAUGUAUAUGUGUAUCUACUGUUAUAUGUAGAUGACAUGUUACUGGCAAGUAAAGAUAGAGGGGCAAUUGAAGAAUUAAAGUUGCUGCUCAACUCAGAAUUUGAAAUGAAGGAUCUGGGGCAGGCUAAGAAAAUUCUAGGAGUAGAAAUCAGAAGGAACAUGAAGAAUAGACUGCUAUAUCUAUCACAAGAAAGCUACUUGAAGAAGGUGCUGACAAUUUAUGGAAUGAGUGAUUCAAAACCUGUCCAGACACCUCUGGCUUCUCAUUUCAAACUCAACAGCUCUCAGUGUCCAUCUACUGAUAAAGAAAAAUAAAAGAUGAUGUCAGUCCCCUAUGCAAAUGCAGUAGGGUGCUUGAUGUAUGCCAUGGUCUUAACUAGACCUGACAUAGCACAUGCAAUCAGUGUGAUAAGCAGGUAUAUGGUCUCACCUAGAAGGGAACAUUAGAAGGCUGUGAAGUGGGUGAUGAGGUACCUUUAUGGAACCUUGAAGAAAGGAUUGGUGUAUGGAAGAGACAAGGGAAAAGAAGAUGGCUUGUGGGGAUAUGUGGAUUCGGAUUAUGUUGGAGAUCUAGACAGAAUAAGGUCUUUGACUGGAUAUGUGUUUAUGCUGAGUGGAUGUGUGGUUAACUGGAAAUUUGCAUUACAGCAUGUGGUGGCACUCUCUACUAUAGAAGCUGAAUAUACAGCUGCAACAGAAGCUGUUAAAGAAGCCUUGUGGCUUAAAGGGUUAAUAUCUAAGCUGGGAAAAAUGCAGAGAACAAUUUCUAUUUUCUAUGACAAUUCCAGUGCUAUUCAUCUCUGUAAAAAUCCAGCACAUCAUGAAAAAACAAAACAUAUAGACAUCAAGCUAUAUUUCAUAAGGCAUGAAGUCUCAAAGGGUGAUGUCAAAAUGGUCAAAAUCCAUACUGAUGUAAACCCUGCAGAUGUACUUACAAAGAUUGUUCCUGUAGCUAAGUUUGAGCUAAGCUUAGACUUAGUGGGAUUAGGUGUUGUCUAACAAUACUUAAUGUUGGAUAAGGAGUAUGCAAAGGAGUAUUGAUUCAAGGUGGAGAAUUGUGAGGUUUGCUGGUGAAUCAAACUCAUCAGCUCUAAACGGUGGCGUUUAGGCAAAUAGAAGAGCACUUAAAACUCAUGGGAAAAGCACAUGUGUGGUCACUUAUAUUUGUAGCUUUAAACGGUAGUUCAAUCGUGUCAUUUAGAGAAGGCUUUUAAGUGAUGCACGUGACAGCCGUGUGAAGCAACUUUACUCAGUUUGUUAAGUUUGUUAUGCGACGUGUAAGCAGAUUGUUCGAUCUAGGUUUAGGCUGGGUGGUUGCUCUGUUAGCUUUAAGAACAAACUGGUGUAACAGUUGUGGGUUAAGCGUGUGUAUCCAUAUUGAGAGGGAGAGAGAGAUCAGGGGAUGUGUGAUAAGGGUUCUCUGAUAUCUUGUAAACAAAUCUAUGUAAUUAGGAUCCUCCAUUGUUGAGUAAUAAGGGCUCUGUAGAAAGCUUCUCCCGUGGAUGUAGGUUGUGCCAUUUGGUGCAACUGAACCACGUAAUUGAUUCUUGUGGUGUCUGUGGUUGUGUCUUUUCUUGUUUCAGCUCUUCUAUUUCUUGGGUUACAUUGGUUCUUUAUCUGGAUUCCUUCUUUAAUUUGUGUAUCUUGGGUAGUUCUUUAUCAAAGGUCAUGGGAGGUGUUUUUGUCUUGCACUUUAAAGAGCAAAUUCAAAUACUACAGUGGGGGUCACCACAUACUGUUCAUGUGAGUGAUAUUGUUCAUGUGAAUGGAUGUAAGUUACAUUAAAUAUAACUUAAAGGCUCCUGUCAAAUCAAUAGUGUCUCAGUUGAAACAUACAUUCAAACGUGAAACAUUUAAAAGCUUUUGUUUCUUCUCAUCUUUUAUUAAAGUAAAAUAAAUAAACAAACAAAUAAAUAAAGAAUUUUCUUCGGAUUUCACCACAUUGAUUCCACCAGCAAUUACCUCUCAAUAGGCAGAUAUCAGCCAGCCAAAAUAGAACAUCAAACCAACUCAUCAAUGGAUUUAACGUAGGCUCUCCUUCUAGCCUUUCAAUAAGAAUCGUUACUUCGAUCAAGUUAUGGUGGUUCUGACAGAUUCUCCUUCAAAAAUCAUAUCCAUGUCAGCAAAACAAGAUUAAAAACUCUUAAGAAUCUUACAAGCACGAUAAUGAGUCUGCUCUUAUACCAAUUGCUAGAACAAAAUUUAAUUAGCUUAGUAAGUUUAAUUAAAAGUUAAUUAAACAAAUUAAUGCACAAAAAUAAAGUUCUUAAAAGUAAAGUACACAAAAAAACUCUUAAGUGAUUCGGGUAUAAAUCCCUAGGUCCAUUGAGCCACAAAUAUCAAGCAAUUAAUGAAGUUUAAGAGAUUACAAACAAUUAGAACAUUGCACUAAAUAAGAUUCCCUUUUAGUGAUUGGCACACAUUAUUAUAACUUCACCAAAUGAACAAUUUGUGUGUACCACAUAUUUUUUGCUUCCUUUCCCGAGCAAGACUUCUAAGGAAAGAGUAUGUUGUAUCCCUAUAAAAUCUCUUUUAAUGUGAAAACACAAUCCCUUCUCCCGAAAAGACCAAAGAUAGUAUCUUCCAAAUCAAAUAAUGGUCAUAACGUUAUAGCCUCUAAUGUAGAAUCCUUUUAUUGUUUCAAUGACCUCCACUGCCACUAAGAGCGAAUCAACAAACAAUUAAAUAAUAAAAACUACCAAAGAAACAUAAAUUCUAAACACAAUAUGGUCUCUUCUCGUAUUAAAGUCUGACAGAUAGACUCAUAAACAAAAGACAAGAAGCCAAGGCAUCACCCUAGAAUGGUUAACAAAGAUGCAUUCAAAUGCGCUCUUUUUUGCAUUCUGCCUUCUAACAAAAUAUGUGAAUAGUUCUCGUUUCUAUAGUGUCAGGUGAAUCACUUGUAAUAAAGAGCCCAACCUUAUCAAAUCUUUAUCAUAUAUAUAUAUAUAAGGAACUCUUCAUGAUAAUAUGGAAAUAUUAUCUCUUCAUUGUAAUUUUAUAAUCUUGGUAAAUUAAAUCAACUCCAUCUUGAUCUUGAAGAAUCAUGAAAACUCUAAUAUGGGAUCCGUCUAAGUUACAUUUAACGUAACUUACAUCUGUUUUUCUCUUUUCUGAAUUGUUGUUGUAAAAUAUUGUUGAGCCCCUUGCUCUUUAUAUUAUUUACAAUUUAUUAAUAAGUAUUAUGAAACUUUCUGCAUUGUAAACUUUCGUUGAGCACCUUAUACUCUAUUUUAUUUUAUUGAAAAACCCUUAGGGUAUCAAAUUCAUCCCCUAUCAUUUUUAAUUCCAAAAAUACUCUCCAUUUAAAUAAAAUAUAAUUAUUAUUAAAUGGAUUAUAAUUAUUUUAUUAUAAUUAUAAUUUUUAAAUGGAUUUUUAUAAUUAUUAUUAAUAACAAUAAUAAAAAGUACUAUAAUUAAUUAAUCUAUUAACAAUAAUUACUAAUACUUUUUUAGCUAAAUUGUUAAUAAUAAUAAUUAACAGUAAUCAUUAUUAAUAAUUGGGUCCGCCUAACUUACGUUCAACGUAAGUUACGCUCAGCCUGUCUAAUUUCAUAUAGUCCCCCUAUACUCUAUACUAUUUAUAUUUUAUUCAUAAAUAUUAUAAAUUUUUUUAAAUAUAAAAUUUCAUUUAACCCCCUCUACUCAAUUUUAUUUUAUUAAAACCAUAGAGUAUGAAUUCGCCCCCAUAAUUUUAAAUUCUCAAAAUAACCUCCAUUUAAUUAAAAAUAUAAUUAUUUUUAAAUGAAUUAUAAUUAUAAUUAUAAUUUUAUUAUAAUCAUAAAUAUUUUUUUAAUAGAUUAUUGUUAUUAAAAUAAAAUUUUGUUUAGCCCCCUCUACUCAAUUUUAUUUUAUUAAAACCAUAGAGUAUAAAUUCGCCCCCAUAAUUUUAAAUUCUCAAAAUAACCUCCAUUUAAUUAAAAAUAUAAUUAUUUUUAAAUGAAUUAUAAUUAUAAUUAUAAUUUUAUUAUAAUCAUAAAUAUUUUUUAAUAGAUUAUUGUUAUUAUUAAUAACGAUAAUAAAAAAUAUUAUAAUUAAUUAAUCUAUUAACAAUAAUUAAUAAUAUUUUUAUUAAAUUGUUAGUAAUAAUAAUAAUAGUUAAUGAUAAUCAACAUAUUUAUGAUUAUAAUAAAAUGGAAUAAACACUGAGUCUAUAUUUAUAUAGGAGACUCUUUUAUAUUUCUAUACAUUUUAAUUUCAAGUACUUUUAGGAUUUUUUUGUUACCUUCAUAAAUAAUGAUUUUGUAGGCAUCUCAUUAUUAAAUGGUCAUUUUUAAGUGCUUUUUGCUAAGUUGUUACACAUUUGAGGAUGUAAACACAUUUUUCUUGCUUCUAUUUUUUAAAUACAAAAUUAUUUUUAUUGGGUCAAGCUUAAAAUUCUAACAGAAAUUAUCAUUCAUUGGUCUCUUGAAACCCGAUAAUGAGUAUUUAAAGUCAAAGGUAGCAUUAGCAAUAUAUUCACUAUUAGUUAGAUAAUCAUUAAUUAUUAUUAUUAUUAUUAUUAUUAUUAUUAUUAUUAUUAUUAUUAUUAUUAUUAUUAACAAUUUAUAAUGCUUUUUAUUCUUGUUAUUAAUAAUAACAAUAAUCUAUUAAAAAAUAUUUAUAAUUAUAAUAAAAUUAUAAUUAUAAUUAUAAUUCAUUUAAAAAUAAUUAUAUUUUUAAUUACAUGGAGGUUAUUUUGAGAAUUUAAAAUUAUGGGGCCGAAUUCAUACUCUAUGGUUUUAAUAAAAUAAAAUUGAGUAGAGGGGGUUAAAUGAAAUUUUACAUUUAAAAAAAUUUAUAAUAUUUAUAAAUAAAAUAUAAAUAGUAUAGAGUAUAGGGAGACUAUAUGAAAUUGGACGGGCUGAGCGUAACUUACGUUGAACGUAAGUUAGGCGGACCCCUUAUUGGCUCAUUUAUUUAUUUAUUUUGAAAUGUAAAUAGGGCUCAUUUAUCAAAAGAAACCCGCGCUCUGGAAUUAUAUAAAGGGUCCGCCUAACUUACGUUCAACGUAAGUUACGCUCAGCCCGUCCAAUUUCAUAUAGUCUCCCUAUACUCUAUACUAUUUAUAUUUUAUUUAUAAAUAUUAUAAAUUUUUUUAAAUGUAAAAUUUCAUUUAACCCCCUCUACUCAAUUUUAUUUUAUUAAAACCAUAGAGUAUGAAUUCGCCCCCAUAAUUUUAAAUUCUCAAAAUAACCUCCAUUUAAUUAAAAAUAUAAUUAUUUUUAAAUGAAUUAUAAUUAUAAUUAUAAUUUUAUUAUAAUCAUAAAUAUUUUUUAAUAGAUUAUUGUUAUUAAAAUAAAAUUUUGUUUAGCCCCCUCUACUCAAUUUUAUUUUAUUAAAACCAUAGAGUAUAAAUUCGCCCCCAUAAUUUUAAAUUCUCAAAAUAACCUCCAUUUAAUUAAAAAUACAAUUAUUUUUAAAUGAAUUAUAAUUAUAAUUAUAAUUUUAUUAUAAUCAUAAAUAUUUUUUAAUAGAUUAUUGUUAUUAUUAAUAACAAGAAUAAAAAGCAUUAUAAAUUGUUAAUAAUAAUAAUAAUAAUAAUAAUUAAUGAUUAUCUAACUAAUAGUGAAUAUAUUGCUAAUGCUACCUUCGACUUUAAAUACUCAUUAUCGGGUUUCAAGAGACCAAUGAAUGAUAAUUUCUGUCAGAAUUUUAAGCUUGACCCAAUAAAAAUAAUUUUGUAUUUAAAAAAUAGAAGCAAGAAAAAUGUGUUUACAUCCUCGAAUGUGUAACAACUUAGCAAAAAGCACUUAAAAAUGACCGUUUAAUAAUGAGAUGCCUACAAAAUCAUUAUUUAUGAAGGUAACAAAAAAAUCCUAAAAGUACUUGAAAUUAAAAUGUAUAGAAAUAUAAAAGAGUCUCCUAUAUAAAUAUAGACUCAGUGUUUAUUCCAUUUUAUUAUAAUCAUAAAUAUGUUGAUUAUCAUUAAUUAUUAUUAUUAUUACUAACAAUUUAAUAAAAAUAUUAUUAAUUAUUGUUAAUAGAUUAAUUAAUUAUAAUAUUUUUUAUUAUCGUUAUUAAUAAUAACAAUAAUCUAUUAAAAAAUAUUUAUGAUUAUAAUAAAAUUAUAAUUAUAAUUAUAAUUAUAAUUCAUUUAAAAAUAAUUAUAUUUUUAAUUAAAUGGAGGUUAUUUUGAGAAUUUAAAAUUAUGGGGGCGAAUUUAUACUCUAUGGUUUUAAUAAAAUAAAAUUGAGUAGAGGGGGCUAAACAAAAUUUUAUUUUAAUAACAAUAAUCUAUUAAAAAAAUAUUUAUGAUUAUAAUAAAAUUAUAAUUAUAAUUAUAAUUCAUUUAAAAAUAGUUAUAUUUUUAAUUAAAUGGAGGUUAUUUUGAGAAUUUAAAAUUAUGGGGGCGAAUUCAUACUCUAUGGUUUUAAUAAAAUAAAAUUGAGUAGAGGGGGUUAAAUGAAAUUUUAUAUUUUAAAAAAUUUAUAAUAUUUAUGAAUAAAAUAUAAAUAGUAUAGAGUAUAGGGGGACUAUAUGAAAUUAGACGGGCUGAGCGUAACUUACGUUGAACGUAAGUUAGGCGGACCCUUAAUAAUUAAUUUUUGAAUAAUAAUAAUAAUCACAAUAAUUAAAAUACAAAAUAAAAAUUAUAAUAAAAAUUAAUUAAGGAUUUUAUAGUAAUUUGUUACAAUUUAACUUAUUCGAUUUUGAUUUUAAGACAAAGUAAACACAUAAAUGAUGAUACAACUUGAAAUACAAGUGUGCAACCCAAGAGGGGGGUGAAUUGAUAUUUUAAAAAUUAUCCUAACAAAGCCACACAACAAUCCAAUCUAACGCUUUAAUAAAUUCAAAAGCAAUAAAUUCAAUAAAAGAACAAUAGCAAAUGAGUAAGAGAAAAGAAACAAACACACGAAUUUUUACGUGGUUCGGCAAUCCCCGCCUACGUCCACGCCUCCAAGCGAUCCAAGCUUGAGGAUUUCACUAUCCAAGCCUUCAAGGCUUCAAGUGUUUAGAAUUGACUUCAAGGUGUCAAUGAACCUUUACAACAAAGAGAUUAUCUCUCAAUCUCUUCACUCAAGUGUCUCACACACUCAAACACUCACAAUUAAGAUAAGGAAUUGAAGAUUACAAUAAAAACUCUCUUAAAGAGUAGAUAUACAAAUUGAAGAACAAAAGAUGAUUCAAGGUUUUAUGAUUUGCGAAGAUGAGAGCUCAAUGAAUGUUGUGUGCUUUUUGAUUUUGCUUGCUAGAGAGUUUGAAAAUGAAUUUGACUUGAGUUUAUAUAGUUUGAAGUCAAAAACUAGUCGUUAUGCAUAUUUUGGUCAUAACUGGCUUACCGUUUAUGGAAUCCAGUUAGCCGCUUGAAUGUUACCGUUAAGGCAAAAAUUUGAAUUUUAGAACAUCCGGCAUGCCGCUUACGAUAUCCGGAUAGUCGUUUAUACUCCAAAAGCUUACUGCCCAAUAUUUGGAUAACCGCUUGUCAUAUCCGGUUAGCCGUUGCUACAGUAACUACUACAGUGAAAUAUUUUCUAAAAUUAUAUUUUGACCCUAAAACUUUAUAAAAUUAUAUUAUGACCCAAAACGUUAUGAAAGUUUUCAAUAGGUCCAAUUUUAGAAUUUCUAAAUAAUACUUUGUCAGUCCCAAAACUUUUUGAAAUUAUGAUAUCGCCCAAAUUAUGUGAAAUUAAAGAAUGACCCAAAGUAUUUAACUAUUUUCAAAUAGGUCCAAAUCCGAAAUAUCAAAGAUUAUAAAAUUCUUUCAUUUUAGUCAAAAACACUUUAAUUCCAUAAAAUCAUUUUCUUAUUAUAAAAGCACAAUUCAUAAAAUCUUUGUUAUGAAAUUAAAGAAUGGCCCAAAGUAUUUAACUAUUUUCAAAUAGGUCCAAAUCCGAAAUAUCAAAGAUUAUAAAAUUCUUUCAUUUUAUUCCAAAACACUUUAAUUCCAUAAAAUCAUUUUCUUAUUAUAAAAGACAAUUCAUAAAAUCUUUGUUUAACAAACAUAUGUGGUUUGUUAUCAUCAAAAUCAAUAUUUAUAGCCAUAUAGGCUAACACAACUCAUUCUAAUUACGAUUCCUACAAUUUACGUAAAUAAAUUAUUUUGAUUCUAAUUUCUCAUUUUGAUUUUAGCUAUUCUGAUUCUAACUCUAGAGGGGCCGUGGGUCGUGCUCUUGAUAGUUACCCAUUUAAAAAUUAUAAUUAUAAUAAAAUAAUAAUUAUAAUUAUAAUAAAAUAAUUAUUAUAAUUAUAAUUAUUAUUCAUUUAAUAAUUAUUAUAUUUUAUUUAAAAGGAGGGUAUUUUUAGAAUUUAAAAAUUAUAUGGGAUGAAUUUGAUAAUCUAAGGGUUUUAAUGAAAUAAAACCGAGUGCAAGGGGUUCAACAAAAUUUUAUAAUGCAGAAAUUUUCAUAAUACUUAUUAAUAAAUUGUAAAUAACAUAAAUGUAAGGGGCUCAACGAUAUUUUAUAACAACAAUUUAGAAAAGGCAAAAGCAGCUGUAAGUUAACUGUAACUUAGGCGGAUCCUGAUAUCUAUAUAAUAUACUGUUUGUUUGAUCUUGCGUCUUGACUGAUAACUUCAUGUAGAGAUCCAUUUAUCUUCAAUUACUUUGAUCUUGUGGUCUUCACAAAGCCCAAGUCUUCUAGAUCUUCUAUAGUUCAAGCCAACCUCAACAUUUAGUCUAAUAUUGUGCGUGCCCUUCAUGCUAAAAUAUCUCUCCACACACUCAUGUGGACCACACAUAUAUAUAAAACGUAAAACGCUAAAUUGCCUGUAUAUGUUAUCAUUAUAGGCCAAUGCCGUAACACCUGACAAAAUUUAAACUACAUGGGCAUUACAAUAUUAAUGAAGACUUAGUGAUGUGUCCAAUGAAGAUGGCAGCAUACAAAUAUAUAAAUUAACAACAUCGAACAAUGAAAUUCCUAACAAAUCAAUUUAAAUUCUCUGACUUGGAAUGAAACAAAGUCUGGUCUUGAACAAAAUUCUUACCUUGACUUCGGCCCAAAAAAAAUAAAAAAAUCAAGAAUCCUUUCUAAACAAAAUCAAGACAUAAGACAUUAUUUUGUGAUGGGACAAAACUACCUUGCCCCUACUGUACCGAGAACCCAGUUUUUGGCAUUUUCUUUAGUAAUUCUUUUUUUUUAAAUAAUAAAACUAUAAAUAUAAAAAAAAAUUACAUAAUAGGCGUGAAUUAAAAUAUAAUAAUUUUUAAAUCUUAAAAAAUUAUUCUUUUUUCUCUUUGAUUUCUUCUCAAUCACUCUGUCCUACUUCAAAUUCUAAUUUCUUUCUAUCAAACAUGUAAUUAACUUAUUAAAAAAGAAAAUCAAAACAUAGAGUCUUUAUAAAUUAGAUUAAUUUCUUAACUACAAGUCCAGAAAAUAAUACUAGCAUUCUUUUAAAUAAAAUUUAUUAUUUUUAUAUUCUUUUAUCACUAUAAGAAGAAAUGAGUUGUAUCUUAUUUUCUAUAGAGGAUCUAAGCAAUUAGUAGACUUUUGCUAACAAGUAAAAGAACUGUUAUUUCACUUAUCUGAUUAAUCCUUUCAAAAAUUGAUAUUGGUAAUCUUUGCAGUAUACUUUUUGUAUUCUAAAUAUUAUCAAAAAAAUUUAUUGGCAAAAUCCAAUCACCAAUAUUUACAUUCCAGUUACAGUGUAUGGCUUACUUGAAUGAUACAAUUGAGAGAGGGGGAAAGCUUUCUACACCAGUUUUAAGAUUUACGAUAAGAAUUCCAAAGAGAUUUUCUAGUUAAAGAUGUCAACGUAAAAAAAUUUAUUCUAUAAAUGUACUACAGUAUAAGUUAGCUAUUUGAACCCUCCAAAUUCUUCUCAAUUCCCAUUUGAUCAAUAUAUCCAAUAAUUAAAUUUUGAAAUCCUGAUUACUCUGAAGUACCAAAAAGUAACCCUAAUUACAAAUUUUUAUUAGAUUUUAAUUUCUCUACACACCCACCAACUAUUAUUUAUUUUUUUAGAAAGUGGUUAGAUCCAUAAAUUUCCCAUUUCUUUUUUCUCUCCAUUUUCUUGUUCUCCAUUAACUAACCUUUCCAGAAGGAGAAAAAAAUUAGGAUCAUAAUAUUCUUGGGAAUUCAACAUUUAUUUCAAAUUAGUCUCUAUAGAAGGAGAAAUUUUUUCAUAAAAAUAAUUUGAUUCACAUAUUCAUCAAUCAUCACUAAAAUAUUUUAAUUUCUCAUGUGAAUAUUACACAAAUAAAUCACAUAAUUGUCCAAAUAGAAAUACCAUAAACGACAAAAUGACUUUCGAUCAAAUAAUCAUAAGGGACAAAAAUUAAAUCUAUUCAAACAAAUUAUUAUACAUUAUACCGAAAUUAUCAGCUGGCACCAUACUACCUAAAUUUUAUGGAGGAUUAAGUGGAUUAGGGUUCUAAAAAUUUGAUGGUGAUUUAGAAAAUAAAAAACUUAAAUAAAAAGUAUGAAAUGGAUGAGAGUUAUAAGGUUUUAGGUGUAUAGCAAUGAAAGUUAAGUACGAUUUAUUUAAUUAAAUUAAUUAUUUAUCCUCAUAAAUAAUAUUAUCUUAAAUAAUAAAACACUAAAUGGUAUUUAUUUAUUAAAAAAUUAUACUAAAAAUAGAAACAGUAAAGUAGUUUCAUGAAUUCUGGUGGUGCAAAUUUUAAAAAUCCAACAGAUUUAAAUAGUUAUAUCUAUUUUAAAAUUUAAAAUAUUUAUAAUGGAUAUCUUCAGUAAAUGGGCAUGCAGAGUAUUUUAAUAGGUUUCAAAUAACUCAUUCAUAUUUUUUAUAUUUAAAUAGGUUCAUUUUUAAUGGACUUAUAUGUCAAAAUUUUGAAACAUAACCUAUUCUGAUAUUUUUAAGAAAAAAGGGGACUACGAUGUUAAUAGUCAGAUAAUUACAUCCUUGCCGUUGGAGUAACUUUUGUGAUUGGAUCGAAGAAAGAUAAAUAAUGGAGUACCUUGCACCCGUGACAAAGUAGCUCGACUGUAAUUAAAGAUCAAAAUCAUUCUCGAUUAUGCUUUAUUUAUUUUAACAACAUACUCAUUAUUCAUGAUCCUACAGAUUUGUCUCAGCAAAAUUCAUAUGAAUUACAGGAUUAUUAAUUUAGAACUCCCACAAUUCUGGAUUGAUUUCAAAGUCCCAUAAUUCUGGCAAUUGCAUCUCUCCUUCACUGGCGCAUCCACUUACAAAUCCUUUUAGCCGCUCACUUAUUUUCGCAGCCCCAAAACCAAACAUUGAAUCUCUAAUCUGCACAAGAAAAAUAACCCAAAACAAAAAACAAAAGAAACCCAAAUUAAUUUUUUUAAGUUCUAAAAAUUCAAAAUCAUAAAACAAAUUAAAAUGAACAUAAUUCAAGAAUUAAUUGAGAUCAUUAGAGAUCAUUAAUUGUAACAUACCUCAGCAUGAAUAACAUGAAAAAUAGUAUUUCCGACGACUGAAAAAUUGGCAUUUAAAAUCUCAGCGCCAUCCUGGUGGAGAAUGCGAAUAACUUCAUAAAAUAUGAACUGAUCAUCAACCCCACUAGUUAAAAUCACCUCUAAAUUCGAACCCAUUUCAUGAAUUUCAAUUUCUGGUGCUUUUGGUGAUGAACUUGUCAUAAGCCUAGCUUCAGUGCCGUCACUGAUGCAGGCAUGAGAUCUUUCUCUACCCUGUAAACUUUCCUUCCUCUUCUUGCAUUCCUUCAACUUCGUCUCUAACAUUUUUAUGUAAUUUAUAGCUUCAUCUACUUGAUCAGGCAGUGACAAUUCUUCCUGCUCCCACAUCAAAUUAAAGAAAAAGAAAAAUAAAUAAUUAUGAAUAUGAAUACACACACAUAUACACUUAAUCAAGGAAAAAUCUCAAAGUAAAUAUACGUGUGAUAAAAAUCCGGGCAAAAAAGAAAAAAAACAAAACCAAGAGAGAGAAGACCUUGGAAGGCUGAUUUGGGAGAAGAGAUUUGAGUGUGGAGUAGAGAUUUUUCAUUUGAUCUCUUCUGUUCUUUUCAAUGGUCUUUCUCUCUAUUUUUGUUGGUGAAGAAGAAGAACACUGUUUCCUCUUCAUUGAUCCUUUGGCUUCCAAGCUUUGUCCCAAAUACCCCAUUUUCAGAUCCAAAUUUUUUGUGAAGAUUGGAUAAGCUAUGGUUAAUUUCUUGAACAUCACAUAAAAUAUAUAUUUAUAUGUGAAAUAUAUAGAGCCAGAAUCAGUAUCACUUUCACCGUCCAAAAGACGAUUAAUUAAUUAUAAUAAAAAAAAUUAAAGACAAAAGCAAUGCCGUGAAGUCGUCAUCCAGGAAACGUCAGGUUUCACACAUCAUCAGCCAUCAAUUUAGAAUCUUUAUUGCUGCGAUUUUUAAAGAUUUACACGUAUAUUUGCUUUGAAAAUCUUUUUCGAGGAAGAUGCUGAGAUCUUUAUUUAUUUUAUUGCACUACGGUCAGGUCAAAAGUUUUUUUUUUCCCUCCUAACAGUACAUAAUAAGUUUAAUAAAAAUUUACAGAAAUCUUUUAAAUCAGUUAUAUGAUAAUACAUUUGGAUAUAAAUUAAUAGAGACUAAAUAUAUAUAUAUUUUUUUAAAAAAGAAAAUUAAUUACUGUAAAUACAUUUAAAAAAGUAGGGCUAGUUUUGCACUAGGUAAUUAGGGUAGGUUUUCUUUCUGGAGUGGGAGUGAGGAGUGUGGAUUUCUCCCACUCCAGUGUUUACUUCACUUAUUUAGUAGAAGAUUGGGAAUCUCACUCCGUAGGCCCUACCCAUUUUUGGAGUGGGGAGUGGGAGUGGAACUCCCAUUGGGGGAGAUGGGAGUGGGAAUCCACUCCCACCUCUUCCUUUUCUACCAUUCCCACUCCCACCUCUUCCUUUUCUACCAUUUUUUUUUAAUUUUAAUUCAAUUUAAUAUUUUAUAAUUAAGAAAAUAAAAUAAAUAAUAUUAUAUUUAUUUGAAUAAUAUUAUUACAUUUAACUAAAUAAUAAUUUUUUUUGAUUCUAAGUUAAAAUUAUUUUAAAAUAAUAUUAUUAUAUUAAUAGAGAAUUAAUAAAUAUAAUAUUAUUGUAUUUAUUUUAAAAAUAAAUAGUACUAUAUUUAUUUAAUAUUAAUAAUAAUAAAUAUUUUGUUCUAAAAAAAUAUUAAUUUUGUACUAAAUAAUAUUAUAUUAUUAUUUUAUAUAAUAAUAAAUUUAAUAUAAUUAUAUUAAAUAAAAUAAAAUAAUGUUUCAUUUUAUAUUAGAAUUAAAAUUAAUAAAAAAUUAUGAUUUACAUAAUUAAGAAUAUUAUUAAUUAUUAUUAAUUUAUAAAUAUAAUAAAAUAUUUAUUUUAUUUUCCAAAUAUAUUUUUUAUUAAUUUUUUAAUUACAAAUUAUAAUUCUUUACAUAAAGAUAAAAUUGUAAUUUAAAACAAUUUACUCCCAAUCCAAGACAAAGUAAACAAAUAAUUGGGAUUCUGAUUGACAAUCCAUACUUUUAUUUAGUCUAAGUAAACACCCUACUCUUACUUCCACUCCCACUCCACACUCCUAAUCCAAGGAUUCCCACUCUUCAGGAUUCCCACUCCAAUAAAAAAAGUAAACGCAACAUUAAUGUUGUGUUUACUUUCUGGAGUGAGAGUGAGGAGUGCGGAUUCCUCACACUCCUAGGAAUGGCAAAAAUCCCCACGGGAACGGGUACUUUCGGGGAUUUUUUCCAUUCGGGGAGGGUAUGGAGAUAAUUUUAUACCCGAUUUCUUAUUCGGGAAAGAGACAUGAAUAAUUUUUUACCCAGUUUCUUAUUUGGAGAAAGGACGAGGAUGAGGUAGAAUCCCCAUCCCCUCCCCAUUUCCCCAUUUUAUUUUUAUUUUUUAAAAUUACUAGUAAAUAAAUAAUAAAAUUUGAAUUAUAUUAUAAAAUUAUAAAUAUUGGUAAAAAUAACAAAUAUCAAAAUAUUUAUAUUAUUAAACUUUUAGGUCUAAUUAACUAAUUAAAGUCUUAAAUUUCCAUUUAGGACAUUAAAAAGGCCGGGUAGAUUCUAUUAGCCCAAAAAUUUUGUUUUAAUUUUAAUUUUUUUUAUUAAAAAUAUUAAUUAAGUAUCUACAUUUAUUUCAUUUAUUUUAUUGUCAAUAUAAAAGUAAAUUCUUUUUCCUUUUAUUGUAGGAUUAUGAAGAUUGACAAAGAUAAUUAUUUUGAUAAUUUGUAUUUUGCAUGAGACUUUUGUAAUGGAUCAAUAUUAAUGUAAAAUAUAUUUCAAAUUUUACUUUUAUUUGAAUUUUUUAUUUUAAUAUAAUUAAUUCAAAAUAAAAAAAAUGUAUUAGUUAUUCGGGGAUCGGGAACCCUCAGGGGUCCCCUGUUAUUAUUUAGGGAGAGGAUGAUGAUUCUCUUAAGUAAUUUUGACGGGGGCAGGAACAUACGCAAAAUAUCGAGAAUGGGUAUGAGGAGAUUGAUCCCCUCCCCUACCCACUUCAGUGUUUACUUCGCUAAAUUGGGGAGGGAUUGGGAAUCCCACUCCGUGGGCCGCAUCCAUUUUUGGAGUGGGGAGUGGGAGUGGGACUCCCAUUGGAGGAGGUGGGAGUGGGAAUCCACUCCCACCUCUCCCUUUUCUACCUUUUUUUUUUUUAAAUUUAAUUCAAUUUAAUGUUUUAUAAUUAAUAAAAUAAAAUAAAUAAUAUUAUAUUUAUUUGAAUAAUAUUAUUAUAUUUAACUAAAUAAUAAUUUUCAUUGAUUCUAAUAUUAUUAUAAAAAUAGUUUAUUAUUUAGAUUAAUAGAGAAUUAAUAAAUAUAAUAUUAUUAUAUUUAUUUUAAAAAUAAUAGUACUAUAUUUAUUUAAUAUUAAUAAUUAAUAAUAAUAAAUAGUUUAUUCUAAGAAAAUAUUAAUUUUGUACAUAAUAAUAAUAUUAUAUUAUUAUUUUAUAUAAUAAUAAAUUUAAUAUAAUUAUAUAAAAAAUUAAUAUAAUUAUAUUAAAUAAAAUAAAAUAAAGUUUCAUUUUAUAUUAAAAUUAAUAAAAAAUUGUGAUGUUCAUAAUUAAGAAUAUUAAUAAUUAUUAUAAAUUUAUAAAUAUAAUAAAAUAAAUAUUUAUUCAUUAAAUAUGUUUUUUAUUAGCUUUGUAAUUAAAAAUUAUAAUUCUUUAAAUAAGGAUAAAAUUGUAAUUUAAAACUAUUUACUCUCAAUCCAAGACAAAGUAAACACAUAAAUUGGAUUCUGAUUCCAUUCCAUGCUUCCAUUCUAGUGUAAGUAAACAACCUACUCACACUCCCAUUCCACACUCUCAAUCCUAGGAUUCUCAUUUCUCAGGAUUCACACUUCAAUCCAAAAAGUAAACGCUACCUAAGAUGUAAUUAUCAGGUGAUGUCAAGACUAUAAAAAAAAUUGAAAAUUAUUGUUGUCUAAAAAUAUAUUUAAUUCUAAGCUUAUAUAUGAUUUUUCUUGAUCUUUUCUUCCUAGAAUUCCUUAUUAUAUUCAUAAGUGGUGAAUCUUAUCAUCACAAUUUUUUUUUAAAAGUAAUAUAUAGGACUUUCAAAAGUCUAAAGAUUUUGGCGGUGCAAGUCUACAAGCAUUUUAUGUAUAUAUAGUCUACGAACAUUAUAAUUAAACCCACUCAUAUUUUCUCCCAAGUAAUUAAAUUGAUAGUACCACAAAACCUUUAGUUUUGUUAGUGUUUCCCUUAUGAUUAUUGUGAAUAGGGAUGGCAAUGGGGAGGGGAGGGGAGGGGACCAAUCUCCCCGUACCUAUCCCCGAUAUUUUGCGUAUGUCCCCGUCCCCUCCCCGUCCCCGUCAGAAUUAUUUGAGAGAAUCCUCAUCCCCUUCCCGAAUAAUAACAGGGGAUCCCCGAGGGUCCCCGAUCCCCGAAUAACUAAUAUAUUUUUUUUCGAUUUUAAGUUAAUCAUAUUAAAAUAAAAAAUUCAAAUAAAAGUAAAGUUAAAAAUAUAUCUUACAUUAAUAUCCAUUACAAAAGUCACAUACAUUAAAUUAGUAAGUAACGCAGCAUGCAAGGGAUACAAACUUCUUUUACAAACUAUCAUGAACAAAUUAAUAGUCUAAUACAAAAUUGUUACAAAUAAAAUCGAAUUUAGAUUCAAAAUUAACUUUUUCAAUGGUGGCGUGGGCACUUUAUAAAUGUGGACUAUUCCUUUUACAACACAAUAGUUAAAUCGGAGCAAGUCAAGAGUAAAUAUUAGAUUAGAUUAUAUUAGAUAUUAAAAUUGUGAUUCGCUGUGGGCAAUUAUAACAUCUAAAAAUAAAUAAAAAAUAGAUUUAAGUUUAAAAUAUUUAAAUAAUAUUAAAAAUAAAAACUUUUGGGCUAAUCGAAUCUACUCGGUCUUUUUAAUGUCCUAAAUAAAAAUUUAGGACUUUAAUUAGUUAAUUAGGCCUAAAAGUUUAAUAAUAUAAAUAUUUUAAAUUUUUUUUUAUUUUUACCAAUAUUUAUAAUUUUAUAAUUUAUUAUUUUAUUAUUUAUUUACUAGUAAUUUUAAAAAAUUAAAAUAAAAUUAAAAAUAAAAAUGGGGAAAUGGGUAGGGGAUGGGGAUUCCACUUCAUCCCCGUCCCCUCCCCGAAUAAGAAAUUGGGUAUGAAAUUAUCCCCAUACCCUCCCCGAAUGGGGAAAAUCCCCGAGGGUACCCGUCCCUGUGGGGAUUUUUGCCAUCCCUAAUUGUGAAGAAUUGAAACUUAAAUUUAUCCUUAUUAAAGGUAUUGGACAUUUUUAGGAGAUAACUUAACUAGUUUGAUUCUUACCAUGAAAUUAAUUUCUUGUUCCACUAAUUUUAGAUAAAAAAAAUUUUCAAUUUUGUUUUGAAUAUGAGAUGUGCUGUUCAUUAAAUUGAUAUUAAAAAGAAAUUGUAAAUCAUUUAAUUGAUACCUCUUUGUUUUUAUUUAAAAUUAAGAUUGAGAUAUAGAGAUUACUAAUAAUAUAGCACCUUUGAUAAUGCAAAUUCCAGCAGUAAUCAAUAGAUAAGUAUCCUACAUGACUAGGAAGUUCAGUUUGUAGACACACAAACACUCAACAAUAGUACUUAAGUUCUAGCAUGUGUAUAUAUCUUCCAUACAUAAGAUUUGUAUGUAAAACACUCAGCAAACUGUAUUUAAAUCCUAACACAUGUUAGAUCAAUAAAUCCUCCAAAAGAAAUUAUUUUUUUAAUUUAGUUCCCAAAUGAUAUGCCACUCAUUAAUUGGUUGGUAAUUUUUUACAGGAUUUAAGUGAAUUAAUUACAUUAUUUUCACUAACCAAUUGAUGAAUGUUACGUUAUUUGAGAUAGUUUUUUGAAAUAAAUAAUUUAGGAUAUGUAGCACUAUUCUUAAAACUUAACAAUCGUCAGUUUUUUUAGUAUUAAGAAUAAAUUUUUAAGGGUAAAACUAUCUUCACCAUUACGUAUGAUAUUAAAAAGCUAAUUUUCUUUGCCCUAUAAUAUUAACUAGUUUUAUCCCGUCUUAAGAAUUAAUGGAGAAUUUAUCCCACCUUAGAGUGUUGUAUUAGCAAAACACUCUCAAAUUUUUAUAACUUAAUUAAUUAAAUGAGAAUAUUGGAACACAUGAUCAUAGGAUCAAAUAACUUGUUUGACCGAAAAACUUAAAUCUAUCUUAUAGAUAAGAUGUUAUGAACCAAAGUUAGCACAUAUACAAAAUACCUAGUUAGAGUUACACCAUAUAUGUGCACCUUUCAAAAGAAAACUAGACACAAUUAGACUUUUAUGUUUCUUUUAGUUUAUGUUAAUUUUUUUUAAAAACGUAAUGUGGUAAUUUUUUUUUAAAACGUAAUGUGGUGGAUUAAAUUUAAAUUAACGUUUAAACUCCUAUCUCUUUUAAGAUUUAAAGAAUUGGGACGACGAACCUAAUAAAAUUCUUUACGAAACACACUUACAUGAUUAGAGUUCAAAUAUUAAAAAGUUAAUUAAUUAAUCAAUGAAAAAUGCAAUUUUCUAUGAAGUGGUCCUAUCUAGAGAGAUUUCCUCAGUGCAUGUUUUCUCCCAACCAAUAAGAAACCACACACUUGUUAGUCAUCGGGUCAAGUUUGAUCCUGACCUGUUUUAUAAAUUAACGACAGUGAGGAGUGGCCUGGUCCCGCAAGAAUUAAUAAUUGUCUUGCUUCUUUGUGGCUUCUUCCGCAAUGCCGCAAGCAUCGACGACUAAUAUGUGAUUUUGGGACGUCCUGAACCACUUAUGUCGUGUCAUUAAUUUGUUUUAACUUUUCAAGUUACUUUGCUACAGCUAAGUGGGAACACUGAUCUGUACAAAUUUCGGCCAGCCACAAAUUAACAUGACCACAAAAUUGACUCUUGCAAUUAUUUUGAGGUCACCGUACUGUGCAUCCUGUUUGUCAUGUGCUUUAAUUUCAUCGUUUCCAGGAAGUUAUACGACGGGCAAGUAUUGAUUUUGAUUGACCUGAAUUUUGGUCACGAGGAUUUAGAUUUUAGACUGCUCACAAUGUGAAGUCUUUUGUUCACAUUAAGACCAUGCACAUAAAAAACUUUGUAAGUGAUUGUGGCUUCUUGUAAAUGAAACAACGACCAAGCUACCUCACUUUUGAUAACAAAAAACAUAAAAAAUAAGGACAAGUGUUACUUACUUUUAAGUUUUCUUUAUAACUUGGGGGAUUCAAUAACAAAUAAUCAUUCAAAGUCGUCUUGUAUUAAGUUUCCUGAGACAAAUGACAAACAUUAAAGCAGAAAAGUUUUUCCAGCGUACUUGAAUGUUGAAAGUUGAAUGAUGAACAAACAUUAGUUUUUUUUUUUUUUUAAAGAUUCCAAAAAUGAAAUUUCUUGUUAAAGACUCUGAAGUGAUAUUCGGUUGUAAGAAAAGAGAGGGGAGGAGAGGAGGAGAAAGAAAAAAGAUAAAGGUGGAGAAUUCAAUUUUCUUUGGUGUGUUUGGCAAGGAAUUAUUAAAAGAAAGGAACCGAAUUUUUUUUGUCUGACAACUUCAACAUUUGUGUUAAAUUCCUAAUAUUUAUAAUUAAAUUAAUUAAAAAAAACACAAAUAUGUUUAACCAUUGAAAAACUAACCAUAAGGUUAAUGUUUCAUUUCUAAUAUCCUGCCUAGAUUUAUGAUACUUUUAUUAAAAGUGCUAUUGCCUAUCAUUAACAAAAGUGCUUUUGCCUAUUAUUACUUUUGCCUAUUAUUGUUAAAGUUCUGUUUUUCCUUAAUUUUUAAUAAGAAACACGAAUAUUAUUUCAUGAAAAAUAAUAACAUGAAGAGAAAAUAUAUUCAAAAUUCAAAUGCUCAAAUGAAAUAAUAAAAACAUAGCCCAGAAUAAUAGUAAAAAAUCAAACAUUGUUUUGUUGAUGAUAUUCAUGCUUCUUAUGGAAAUAGUCCAAAAUACCAAACACAACCCACAAUAUGAAAUAUGAAAAACAUAACAAAAAAAUUUAGUCAAAUUUCAAGUGCCCAAAUGGCUUAAAUUUCACCAUUAAGAAAAAGUCUAACCUAUAUUUCUCUAUCUUCAUAACAAAAACUAACAAAAGCAUUGAGCACAACACUAUUACUAUCGAUUUGAGUAGCAGCUUGAAGUUGUUGUACCAUUGUAAGGACAUUAAUCUUCUUCAACUCAUCAUUCAACCUUACUUUUUUGUCAUUGAGUUCUUGUCCCAUAGCUCGACUCAUGGCACUAAACCAUUCUUUCAUUUGUGCAACAAUAAGAAUUGUUAGCUCCUAAAUUCUCCAAGUUCUUUUGAAUCUUCAUUUCUGACCUUUCUUCUUGAUGAGCUAUUUUAAGUUUUUUGACACUUUUGUGCUGCAUGUAAGAAAGAAACACUAUCAUCCGCAUCAUCCCUCACAUCCUGAGUAUUCAAAUUCUCUCCUUAAGCUUCAUUGUUAAUUUUUGUCCUCUUAAUUUCCUCCACAACAUCCAGGGACUUCUGCAUUUUUUUUCAGUUGCGUGUUCUUCACCAUAAUUCAUACACAAGUCCUCAUAAUAUGAGAAUGCUUUAUUCCUAAAAUUUGUUGCCUCUUUAUGAUUCCAUAAAAUAUUGACAAUGAUCUACUUAAUGAAUGUAUCAUUUAAAUGAAGUUUAACGACACAUAAAUAUAGUAAUAAAAACUUAGCAUGACAUUGUAAAAAGUGAAAGAAAACACUGCAAAAAAAAUGUGAACAAUAGUAAAAAAGCAACUAAAAGCAGAUAAAAAUAGUGGCAAAAAAUAGUAAUAAAUUACAGAACCAGCAAAUAAAACAUUAGCAACUACUGCGUAAAAUAGCAUGAAAUAAUAGUAAUAAACAACAGUUACCAACAAAUAAAACAGUAGUAAAAAAAUGGUAGAAAAUAGAAAAAAUCAGUAGUAAAGGCAGCAAAAAAAGUAAAUAAAACUGCGGCAAAUAAUACUAAUAAAUAAUGGCAACCACCAAGUAAAAUAACAGCAAAUAGCGAGUAAGAUAAUAGCAAACAGCGGUAGAAGAUAGCAAAAAUCAGAAAAAAAAAGAAAAAGAAAAUCGUAAGAAACAACAAAGACACAAAUAACUCAAAUUCAUAUCUAAGCCAUGACAAAUGAAAAACUCACAUACCUAAAUAUAAGCAUCCCAUAUAGCUUUUUUUGCAGUUACAAUUUUCUUUGGUCCAGUUAACAUUUGGUGUAUAGUUUAAAAUUGCAUCUUUAAAGUUUUUGUAUUAGAUUCAAUGUAUGGUUUCGUUUUUAUACUACAUCCAUUUAUUUUUGUUUCCAAAGUAUUCUCAAAAGCGCCUAAGGAGCCACUUUUAAAAUUAUUGUCAACUUCAAAUUUUCCAUCAUUAUACAAAACUAAAGACUCCACAAGCUUACUAUAUUCUUCAGAGGCUCAAAAUCUUGAUUUUGAAGGUAAUAAUGAUAUAUAACUAUUAAAAGAAAAACUAAACAGUGAAAAUCUAGCUAAUGAGGUGUAAAACAGUAGCAACAACAUCAAUAGAACCAAAAAAAAAAAAACAGUACUAACAUAAAUCCUCAACCAUCCAUUUCGCCAACAAUAAAAACAUCAGCAAGAUGCCAAAGCUUCAUCACAAGUAAUAAAAUAAAUCGUCCAUGUUACAUUCAAUUAUUAAGAAAAAUACUGAGCAACAUAUCAAUGUCAAUAACACAAAAUCCAAAAAUAGUAAAAAUGAGUAUUACAUCUAUAAUUCAGAAAAUGAAAUGACAAUCCUAGUGUUUCCUAAAGAGUUUUCAUGUCAUUUAUCUACUUGCUUUCUAUUAAUUAUACAUCCUUUAAGAUAAGUUUGCCCUCCAUGCAUUCCACUCUUAUGAGGUUUUAAUACCUGAUAUUGAGCUUUCAAAUAGUUAUUCGACUCCAGUUACUAGGGGUGGGCUAAAAACUUGUUGCACCCAAAAAAAAACGAAAUUGAUUUGAUUCAAUUAUAAUUUUUUUUUAAAAAACCUGAAUAUUGUAAUAAAAAAUUGUAAAAAUAUUAUAAAUCUGGUUCGAUUGUUAACCAAAUUGAAUAAGUAAAUAACUGAAUUUAUUCACAAUUUACAUGUGUCGUAACUUGAUUGGCUAUGUCCAACACUUACCAUAUGCUACAUACAUAAAAUUGCUUGAAUAAAAUCAUCAUACCCUCACAUAAACCAAUACAUAUAAUUACUUUGGAUGGAUAUUUUAUUAUUUUUCUUAUUUGUUUGUUUUACUGUAAAAGUAUAAGUUACAAUAUUUAUUAGCUUUUUUAGACAAAUUAUACAAUUUAAUUGUUACGAAUACAUUUUAGUCUUUAAUUUUCUUUCUAAACAAAUGUUGCUCUUUUAUUGUUGACUUUUAGAAUUCAUAACAAGUAUAGAGUAUAUUUGAAUUUGAAUUUUUUUAGAUUUGGAGUAGAUAUAGAUCUUUAUUUUUUGUUUCAAAUCUAGAUAUGGAGCAAAAAAUAUAGAUACUGUGACGGAUCUGGAGCAUAUACAAAUCUCAAUUUUUAUUAUAGAUUUUGAUCUGGAGUAAAGUAGAUCCAACCCAGAUAUAGCCCAAUGUCAUCCCCAAAUAUAGGUUAUAGUAAUUUUUUGGGUUUUUUUCCUCAAUUUUCUUUAGAGUACCUGAUUAUGUUGACAAUUCGAUUUGGAUUAAAUCCGAACCAAAAUACAACCCAAUUGGUUUUAAGUUAUUAAACCAAAACGGGUUCAAAGAAACUUGAUUCCAAAAACAAAAAAUAAAAGGACAUUUAUAAAAACUAAUAUAUAAAAGUCAUAAAUUCACCUUAAUUCACAUUAGGCCAUGUACACAACUUUCAAAAUAUUGAACCAAUUCCAGAAUUAAACUAAAUCAAAUAUAAGAUCUAUUAUUAUUAAAAUUAGUAGAUGGACCAACGUUAUAGAUAUAUAGCAUACGUUAUUUCAUAUAUAUAUGUAACUCUUAAAUACAACAACAAAUAAUGAUAGAAUAUUGCUAGCUAACAUGUAAAGUGUAUUGAUGCACUCUGAAUAAUCUACAGUAGACUCCUCAAAUUUCAAGACAUGUGAUAGGUCCAGUCAGAAUUAGCAGAAACAACAAGUAAAUAAUUUGUUCUUCUUAGGGUGAGAACUACCACAAUCGCUGAUCGAAUUAGAUAAAAGUCUGACACCUUUUUAUUGAAAUAUUCGAGUUUAUUUAUAGAACAAAAUUAAUGAAAUAAAGUAGUUAAAAUCAAAUAAACUACUUAGCUAUAAUUUCGAAGUAACUAAUAAUCUUAAAGGAAACAUGUUUAAAUCUGAAUUCUCCAUCAAUACGGCUUGACGUAGUAAAGCCUUUCCGUUGCUUUCUUGAAGAGUCCUUGAAGGAGUCAAGACAUACUUUCAUGUGAUGCCCACCUCAUGCAGGGCCGACUUUACAGUAUUAGGGGCAUUAGGCGAAUUUUUUAUUUUAUUUUUUAUGAGGCCUCUUUUUAUUUAGUAAUUUCAAUACUCAAUAAAACAAUAAAGAAUUGAAAAUCCAUUUCAGUUUUUAUUCUUGAAUUUCAACAAAUAAUCAAGAAGAUUCUAAAAAUUUUCAAAAACAAAAUCUAAAAUUUACCAUUAGAAAUUAUACAAAAAGAAGCAAACGAAUAAAUGAGAAUAAUACUAUUUUCAAAUAGAAUAUUUAGAAUGGUAGCACAUAAAAAGUUGAGAUCAUGAAUUGAUGGUUAGAUAAUGGAUAUGGACUUUGUAUUUCAAGUAACUAAUUUUUUAUUUUUCUUUUUUGAAUGAACUAAUGCAUGUAAUAAUCUUCAUCGUAGAGAAGAUAAUAAGAAAAUUUUCAUCUAUAAUUUUCUAGAUUAUAAGAUUUUUAGUAGAAAUUAAAAGAAAUACUCAAAGUCAAAGAUUCUAAUGUUGAAUAAUUGAGUUUUUUUAAGAAGUUGAAAAGAUAAAAAAAUUUACUUAUUUUUAUUAGAAAAACUAAUAAUGAAUAAAUUAAUGGUUAGACAAUAUUAUUAAUUAUAUCUCUUUAACAAUAAGAUAAUCAAUUAUAGGUUUUUAUAUAAAAAAAUUAUUAAUUAUAGGAUAAUUAUUAAUUAGAGAUAUGUCUAAUAAGCUUUUCUACCACACAUAUAAUUUUUUUAAAAGAUUUUAUUAACUAGAGAAUUAUUACUAAUAUUAAAAAAUUGAGGCCUUUUUAAAAUUUGGGGCCUUAGGCGACCGUCUUGUUCGCCUAUACUUAAAGCCACCCAUGACCUCAUGCAUGGCUUGCAUGGUUGCUUGCAUGUGCCCAUGCACAUUUGUUAUACUUAUUGUUGGGUUUGGGUUCGGGUUCUCGUUUGGACUUGCGUAGCUCCUUAUCAUCACCCCCCCCCUCGAAGAGAACCCUUGUCCCCAAGGGUUAGUGAAGGAAACCGCUGAUGGAUCAUUGCUGUGUCUUCCCAAGUAGCUUCCUCCAGCGGAAGCUUCUUCCAACGGAUUAAACUUUGUUCGAUGAUGGAACCCCCACGUUUAAGCCAACGAGUCUCCACAACCGAAUCAGGUUCUAACUCUAUCAUACCUUCAUCAUUAAUGGGGGCAAGUCGGUGCUACACUUGGGCAAGUCACCCACAACGUUUUUUAGCAAAGAUACAUGGAAAAUGGGAUGAAUCCGAGCCCCUUCUGGUAGCUGAAGUUUGUAGGCGACGAGGCUAAUUUUCUGGAUGACUGGAUACAGCUCGAAGAAUCGGUUGGCCAGCUUCUGGUGUGCACGCUUAAAGAUGGAGGAUUGCCGAUAUGGAUGCAGCUUUAAAUACACCAUAUCACCCUCUUGCAACUCAACCUCCCUUCUUUUCUUAUCUGCUAUUUUUUUCAUCUUAUUGGUUGAUGCAGCAAGAUUUGUCUUCAGUUGCACUAAUAACUCAUCACGUGUUUUUAAUGCUUGAUCAACUUCAUGAACCGGUGAGGACCCGAGUGGAUAUAUCAGAAUAGUAGGUGGUGGCCGGCCAUACAAGGCUUGGAAGGGAGUCAUUCCAGUUGAAACAUGAAAGGUGGUAUUGUACCAAAAUUCAGCCCAUGGUAAAUACGGAUUCCAUUUGCGCGGCCAUUGAUGAACAAAGCUACGUAAAUAUUGUUCCAAUCAUUGGUUGACAACUUCCGUUUGGCCAUCUGUUUGUGGAUGAUAAGCUGAGCUCAUUUUUAAUUAUGUGCCGGACAAAGUAAAAAAUUCAUGCCAAAAUUUGCUAAUAAAUAUAGGGUCUCGAUCACUUACGAUUGUUUUUGGCAUGCCGUGUAACUUGACAACGCCUUCAACGAAUCUCUCAGCCACUGAUUUUGCAGAAAAAGGAUGAGAAAGCGACAUGAAGUGAGCAUACUUGCUAAGUCUGUCAACUACUACGAAUAUUGUGUCACGGCCCUAAGAGUUUGGCAACCCUUCGAUAAAGUCAAGUGAAAUAUCCUCCCAUACUUGGCAAGGGAUGGGUAGUGGCUGAAGAAGUCCCGCCGGUUGCAGUGUUUCACUUUUAGUCUUUUGACAAGUGUCACACUUGCUGAUAUACUCUUGCACGGAUUGAAACAUCGAAGGCCAGUAAAAUUGUUGCGCUAAACGUUUGUAAGUUCGGAGAACGCCCGAGUGUCCCCCUAUUUUGGUGUUGUGGGCCUCAUAUAAUAGUGACUCACACAAUUUCCAUGGAAUAAAAACUCUGUCUUUAAAAAAUAUUAGCCCAUUCUUUGUUGUAUAAGGGCCGUAGGGUUGAUUUUCAGCUUGUUGCGUGACUCGUUUCAAAUACUCGUCUUCGAGCGCAAAUUUUUUUAUUUCUCCCCAUAGUGAUAUCUAUGGAACAAAAAGAUGGUUGAGUGUGGGGCUGUCCGUUCGUCUUGAGAGUGCAUCGGCGGCAGCGUUCUCUUUGCCAGGUCAAUACUGUAUCUCGUAAUCAUAUCCCAUUAGUUUGACCAUCCAUUGCUGCUGAUCGGGCGUGGCUAUCUUUUGUUCUAGGAGAUACUUAAGACUCCGCUGAUCCGUCUGUAUCACAAACCAUUGCCCCAAUAGAUACGGCCUCCAUGUUCUCACGGCUUUUAUCACUGCUAACAUCUCUUUUGCAUAAGUCGACCAAGCCUUCUUUGCCAAUCUUAAUGCCCGACUCAUGAAUGCUAUAGGUCUACCAUUUUGUUGAAGCACGGCUCUGAUGCCGCCACCUGAUGCAUCAGUUUCAAUUAUGAAAACAUCGUUAAAAUUUGGCAUAACAAGAACGAGAGUUUGCGUCAUGGCGAGUUUGAGUGCUUUGAACAUUGUUUCUGCCUCUUGACUCCAACAAAAUUGGCCUUUCUUCAGUAGAUUUGUUAGAGGCCGAGCCAACAACCCAUAUCCGCGUACGAAUUUAUGGUAGUAUCCAGUUAGGCCUAGGAAUCCCCUCAACUCUGAGACAUUCUGCGGCUGUGGCCAAGAUACCAUUGCUGAAAUCUUUCGUUCAUCUACUUUCAUGCCAUGACAAGUCACUAUAUGCCCCAAGUAUUCAUGUUCUUGCUGGCCGAAAUUACAUUUGCUGGCUUUGACAAAAAAUCACUGCUAUUUAAGGAUUUCCAAUGCCUGUUGAACAUGGUUAAGAUGAUAGUCCCAUGUCGUACUAUAAAUCAAGAUAUCGUCAAAGAAGACCAAUAUAAAUUUUUGGAGGUGAGGCCGGAAAAUAGCAUUCAUAAUAGCUUGAAACGUAGAAGGGGCGUUGCAUAGGCCGAACGACAUUACCAUGUAUUCAUAAUGGUCGUUGUGUGUGCGAAAGGCCGUCUUAUGAAUAUCUGAUGGGUGCACCCGUACCUGGUGGUAACCAGCUCUAAGGUCAAGCUUGGUGAAGUAUGCUGCACCAUGUAGUUCAUCGAGCAUGUCCUCCAUGGUUGGGAUUGGAAAUUGGUCUUUAACUAUCACUUCAUUAAGCGCUCGGUAAUCGGUGCAAAACCUCCAGCUGCCAUCUUUUUUCUUGACUAAGAGAACCGGCGAUGAGAAGGGGCUGGUGCUUGGCCGAAUGAGCCCUGAAGUCAGCAUCUCGUGUACUUGUUUUUCAAUCUCUGCUUUUUGAAAGUAAGCAUAACGGUAAGGUCUUACAUUAAUUGGCUCAGCUCCUUCUUUGAGCGUAAUUGGUGAUCAAUUUCCCUUGUUGGUGGCAGGUGUUUAGGUUCCCAAAACAGCUCGGAAUAUUCCUCCAAUAAUCCUUGCAUGCUAGUUGGUGCCAUGGCAUAUAAGUCUUAUGUAUUGAUUUGAAGACAUAUCGCAAACACUGCUUGCCUUUGCCUUAUUUCUUUUAUGACUUCCGUCAGGGAGGAGGCUUGAAUUGUUUGAGGUCCCAAGCCUUGCAAUCGUCGUUUUUUAUUAUUCCAAUUAAAAUCCAUUGUCAACGCCUUCCAAUUCCAAACUACCAAUCCCAAGUUUUCCAACCAUUGAAUGUCGAGCACCAUGUCUAGGCCUGUAAUUGGCAAUGAAUAUAAUAUAAGUUCAAAUGGAACAUCUUGGAUCAAGACGUAUACCUUCUCAUGUUUUCCUUGGCAUAUCACUUUUUCUUCGUUGGCCACUCUUACUGAAAAAGCUGGUGUUGGUUGUAUAGGAAGCUGAAGCACACUGGCCAAACGUGCAUUGAUGAAAUUGCGUGUUGAGCCGCUGUCUAUUAACACAACAAUUUCGUGCAGACCAAUCUUGGCCCUAACCCUCAUGGUCUGUGGAGCAACCCAACCCGUCAAGGUGUAGAACGUGAUUUUUGGUUUCACGUGUUCCCCUGUUUCACUCUCAUGUUCUGUCGUUGCUACAGAUUCUUCAGGUAUGUUCUCUUCGUCUUCGGCUUCAAGGAUUAACAACUGUGCUUUUGUGCACUUAUGACCUGCAGUGAAUUUAUCAUUACAAUUGAAGCACAAGCCUUGAGCUCUUUGCCUUUGCAUCUCCUCCGAAGAAAGCUUUUUAAUUGGUACUGUUGGUGAAGCGCGGUUGUUGAAGAUUUGUGGUGGCGGUGAACGGUUGAAAAUCGGUGAUCUCAUCCGCCUCUUCUGUCGCUGCAAUUGUUCAUCUCUCAUUCUUGCCAAACUGAUCGCUUCCUUAAGAGUUCUCGGUCUAAACAGCCGGAUUUCCUCAGAUAUCUUGGGUUUCAAUCCUCUCAUGAAUGUGCCGACAAGAGCCUUUUGAGUCCACCCUUGAACCCGGUUGCUAAGCCUCUCAAAUUCUUUCUGGUAAUCUCGAAGAGUGCCGGUUUGCUUGACCCUGGAUAGCACCCCGUCGAAGUCCUCGCAAUCUGUUGGCCUAAACCUCGCCCAUAGCUCCUCCAUGAAGAUUUCCCAAGUCACGUCUCAUCCUUCCUCUUGAUAAGAUUUCCUAAGCCACUGCCACCAUUGGUUAGCUUCUCCCUCCAAGUGGAAUGAAGCCAAGACAACUUUUUGGUCUUCUACAUAACGUGGGAACUCCAGUUUUGCCACUCUUGAUUGAAACUGCUGCCGUUGUUGUGCAAAUUUUGUUGAACUCGCAAGCGCACGAAUCUAUUGUAGUAUAGAUCAAUGGUGACGAGUGUCGAUCCCACGAGGAGGUGGAUUUUAAUUAUGUGUAGAAUUAAUUUUGUAAAUGGGUGGUUGGAUUUAUGGUGGAAAUGGUUUGGAAUAUGCUAAAACUUAAAUUAAAAUGGCGAGAAUAAAUUCUAAAAUUGCAAUUGCAAUGGCGAGAAUAAAUUGAAGAUAAUUCUAUUGAAAUGACGUACUUGGGUAUUCGGAUCCAUAUCAACAUGCAUCAUGGGCUAAAUAUUUCUUAUUAAUGCCAAUUAAAUCAUGAGGGGGGAAUCCACACCUCAUGAACCACACUCUAAUCAAUAUGGUGCUAAGGGCUUAUCGUGCCAAAUAAUAAUAACCUUAUACUAGAGAGCCGGUGUAACCAAUGCGCUAUCUAGACAAGAUCAGUAUUAUUUAUCGACGAUAAGUCAAAUCAUCCACAAAAACUAGAGGGGAAAAGAAAAUAAAUUUACCAAAUAAAACCCAUGACACAUGUUGAGACUUCACUUUCAACCCAAGCUUGAAAGGAAAUUAGCUACUCAUAAUUGAACUAGGGGCAAAAUGGGAAUUUAUUAAAAUACAAAGAAAAUACAAGAUGGAGAAGGAAUUACAGAAAAUGGAUCCCAAAAAUGGAUUCAGAGAUAUCAAAUUAGGGGGGGAAUGCCCCCUUUUUAUAGAUACAUGGAGUAAAUCAUGGCCAUCGGAUUAAAAACAGUUUGGACGCUCAGGAUUGUGCCACGUCAUCAGUCAACAGUCCACGGUUUGACCACGUGGAUGAACAGUAACACGGUUGACCUGGAUGAACAGUAAUGCGGUUUGGUUGAAAAUAAUCCUAUGUGAUGCAUGCACCGUACGCGAGAUUUUUCGUCCACUGAUAUGCUGUCACGUCACCGUCAACAGUACAUAAGAAUUUUAGUCCAACAGGAUCGUGACACCUCAUCAGUCAAUGCCACAUCAUCGGUCAAUGCCACGUCAUCGAUCCGUCUAUGUGAACAAUGUCGUGAACAGUAACGUAGACAGUACCGUAUACGUGAAUAGUACCAUACAUGUGAAUAGUGCCAUUUUUCCUUUUAUGCUCCUCCUAAGGUUUUCGACCGUCCUGAGUUCAAAAGUGAUGUCCGUUUUGCCGUCUGAUCUCUCUUUUAUUGUGAAAUGACUAUAAUGCCCCUAAAAUACAUAAAAUACUUAAUUAAAAUAACACACACGUAAUUACAUCACAAGAAGGUUAAAUACAUAAAAGUAAGGGUUGUUAGUAAGACUUGAAAUGUAAAAUGACGGUUUUCUCCUUUAUAAAUAUGCAUUUUCUAACACUCAACAGCCGUCUGCCACCCUUGUCUUCUUGGUUUGGUCGCGAUGUUGCUAUGUUGUUGUUGAUGCUAGGUGCGUCUUUGGAUGUAUGGAAAUGCUCUGCAAGUUUGCUCAAGGUUUCUUCAAUGUGAGCCAACUUGUCGUUAACUCCUAACUCCAUGCGCUGCAUCUUAUCUUGCAUCUCCCCGAGCUCCGUUUCUAUCCGUAUGAUGUGUUCCUUGUUGGUUGUCGUCCUUGCCUAGCUCUGAUACCAAUGAUAGGUCCGAGUCAGAAUUAGUGAAAACAACAAGUAAAUAAUUUGUUCUUCAUAGGGUGAGAACUACCACAAUUGCUAAUCGAAUUAGAUAAAAGUCUGAUACAUUUUUAUUGAAAUAUUUGAGUUUAUUUAUAGAACAAAAUUAAUGAAAUAAAGUAGUUAAAAUCAAAUAAACUACUUAGCUAUAAUUUCGAAGUAAAUAAUAAUCUUAAAGGAAACAUGUUUAAAUCUGAAUUCUCCAUCAAUACGGCUUGAUGUAGUAAAGCCUUUCCGUUGCUUUCUUGAAGAGUCCUUGAAGGAGUCAGGAAAUACUUCCACGUGAUGCCCACCUCAUGCAUGGCUUGCAUGGUUGCUUGCAUGUGCCCAUGCAUAUUCGUUAUACUUGCUGUUGGGUUUGGGUUCUCGUUUGGACUUGCGUAGCUCCUUAUCAACGUGUCUAAAUAAAGCCUUCCCAUGUGGAACAAUACAUUUAUUUCUGUUCACUAUAUAUUUGAUAACUAUCUUGUUUUGACUUUUGAGAAUCAAACUGAUCAGUGAUACAUAUAGUAUGCAAAAGAGGAUAUAUAAGGAUUACAUGACAUUGAAGUUUUGAACCUAAUCGUCCUCCAAUUAGUGAUCUUGAAAACAAAUCAAGUAUCUAGAAUUUCUAAUCUAAUUGAUCGAGGUGCCAGAUGCUAUUCAUCAUAAUUUAUUUCUGCACCUAUAAAUGACCUUCAUCCGUGUUUAAAAAUUAAAGUGUAGGAAGAUUCAACAUUCAUCGCAAACAUUCCAUUAAUUUGCUUUUUAGUUAAUUAAGUAAAACUAAAACUAAAACUAAAACGAUAAAAUAUUGAAAUUUAAGAAAUGAAACCAAUAUAAAUUCCAUUUUCUUAAAGGAAUGCUAUCUAACUCCUCGAAAAGCCUACAGAGGCUGGUAAAAGAGUAGUUUAAUAGGGAACGAGAAUAUUAUCAAAGUAGUUGAGUAAAAUGAUAGUGUUAUAAGUAGAUAUUUUAAAGGAUGAAUCAUCAUGCCUAAAGCCUCCUAAAGUGAGAUUAGAACUCCAUAUUCAUAUGAACUCAAGCAUGUAUUAUUAAGAAAACAUAACUCAAUUAAUAGAACUCCAUAUUCAUUUCAAAUCAACCCAAUGAACAUGCUAUCUAAUUCUUCCUUAUGUUAUUUCUUACAACUAGCCUACACCGCUUUAAUUUCGAAAUCAACCAUUGUAAAAUUCAAGUGCUAACAAUCAUAAUGCAAGAUGGCAUAAACACAUUCGAACCUAAAAACCAACAUCAAAUAUAAUUUACAUGCGACCGGUACCAUCAGCAUGAAUCUUUCAAGAAUCUGAUCAAAUCACCUUGAAAUAACUAUUGUUUGAGGGAAUAAAUAAAGGAAUUAAAAUAGAGCGCCACCUGUCGAUAAAGGGACUUUAAUGGCUAGGAGUUAAUUUCGUGGGGUACCCGACCUGCACUAAGAAUACUGUCCAGAUAAAGUAAUACGCGGGGUACGCUCCGGAAGAAUCAAGGAAUUAAGAAAAAUAUCCAAAAAAUGGCCAUCGCACGUACUAUCUCAAUCGCCCAAAAAGAAUAUUUAAAAUCAAAUCAAAUAUAUUCUGUUAGAAAAAGAGAGACAGAUGGUUGUAAAAAUCAGCAAAAAUCAGGAGCAGCUCACAAAGGACAGUGGUCCUUAGCUGCCACAACCGUCACUGUACAGACAGCCUCUACAAAAAAGAACCUUAGACCACCAGCAGUGUACGCCACGUGCACUGAACGACAGCAUCCACCAAAAACUGCCUCCUUACUCCCCAAGCAUGCUUCUAACAGUAGAAAACCGCCAUAAUGAUGAAAGGACGUGAGAAUUUCAGCAAGAACAAUAAAAAUCUCCAAUAGAAACGUGACACAUGGUAAGGUACCUAGGGAGAACUAUAUAAGACCAAAAAAAGGUUAUACCUCUUUCAUAAGCUCACAUGCUCUAAUAUUCAUCCCAAAAAACACACACAAAACCAGGGGCUAAGGUCUUCUUCAACCUUCAGCCACCAUUCUUUUAGAGAGCUUGCAAGCUUUUAUCACCUCAAAAGUUCAAGUAGCUGACUUGAGCAUCAGAGUGUGGUUGCCGGCCACCACCAGCUCCACAUCUAACCUCCUUUCCUUGUUUUGCAGAUUUAAAGGUAUUCCAUCAAGCUUUCCUACUCUAUUCCAGACCCUUUACUGCUGUUAGGGCUGGGCAAAAAAAUUAAUCUGAUCCGACUCGAUCCGAUCCGAAAAAUAUCGGGUUCGGAUUGAAUUAGAUUUUUAAGCAAAUCUAGGGAUGGCAUUGGAUUGGAUUUGAUCCAAGAUCCAUGUGAUUCAAAUCCAAUCGGAUCGGAUUUGGAUCGGUUUAAAAUGGAUUUGGAUCGGAUUUGGAUAUCGAUGUGCAGAUCUAAGACGGAUCUGGAGCAGAUAUGGAUCUAUCUUAAUAUCCAAAUCCAUAUCCAUAUCCACUCAUCUUUUAAUUUUAUUUUAUUUUAAAAGUUUCUUAAUAAUUGUGGAAUGAUAAUGAUAAUAAAUUUUAUUCAUAGCAUAUUAGUAGUAUUUACCAUGAAUUUAAACUCUUAAAACUUAAAGGUUAGUUUUGUAAAUUUAAAGGUCAGCCAGCCUCAAAGCAUGUACAUGCAAUAUUCAAAUUGCAAUCCAAGUAAUAUAACCUGGUAAUUUAUUUUAUCAUAUUGGCCAAAUAAUUUUUAAGGAAUAUAGUUAUUCAUAUAUUUAAUCAAAUAUGGUCAAAAUAAAAAUAAUAAAAGACUGAAUAUAAAUCAUAUUUAAUUUAUAUGUCAUUAUCUAAUGUUGUAGGAAUGAGGGUAGGUGUAUCGUGGAUAUUAGAAUGAUGAAAGAGACAAUAGAAUAUUAGAUUGAUCUUACUCUUGCAAUUACUUCUGAAUGAUAUUUUAUUAUCUUUCUUAUUUGUUGUUUUGGUGUAGAAGUAUAAGCUACAAUAUUUAUUAUAUUUUUGAGAAAAAUUAUAUAAUUUAUUUGUUAUCAAUACAUUUUAGCCUUCAAUUUUCAAUCUAAAAAAUUAUUACUUUUUUAUUACGGAAUUUUAGAAUUCAUGACGGAUGUAGAGCAGAUUUGGAUUUUAAUUUUUUUUCGGAUUUGGAGCAGAUAUAGAUAUUUAUUUCUUUUUUGGAUCUAGAUAUGGAGCGAAAAAUAUGAAUUCAUAACGGAUCUGGAGCAGAUACGGAUCUUGAUUUUUAUUAUGGAUUUGGAUCUAGAGCAGAGUAGAUCCAACCCAUAUCUGCCCCAUUGCCAUCCCUAAGCAAAUCCAAUUGGAUAGUAUUUUGCCAACCCGAUUCGAUUCAAAAAUCUGAUCAGGUUGGCUAAAAAAAUAAAUAAAUAAUUUAUUUUCAAAAGCAAUUGAUUAAAUGGCAAACAUUGUGCCAUCAUACAUACAACAGAACAGCACAACAUAGUCUUCACACAUAGUCACACACGUAGCGGCAGUCGGCGACACUAACCAAACAUGGGACGACAGUCAUGGCAUGGCAGACACAAAUGCUGAGACGCAGACGGCACGACAGCAAAGCAGCACUGACGCGAUCCAAUGCAUCCGCGCAAAGCCAUCACGAUCCGCGACGAGAUGACGUGAUAUGCUGCCCUGCACCGCGACCACUGCUGCCACUUAAUCCACUGGCCACCGUGACUGAUCUGCACUGUGAUUUGCUGCCCUUCGCUCAAGCAUGAUUAUGCUCUUCUAAUACGUAAUUUAUGUAUGUAUUUUUUUUAAUUCUCUUUUAUUUUUUAGGAUUGGGUUUCUUUGUAACUAAUAAAUUAGUUGAAAAUUCGAUCAUAGAAAGAUUAUAUUAUAGGCCAUGGUAAGGGGGAAAAUUCAGAUGAAGAAAAUAAAAAAUGCUACAAACCGGCUUUUGACAUUUUCAAAUGUCUAUUUCCCAUUUUGGUGUGUAUGACCCGAUUUGACCGAACCCAAUUGAAUCUGAACUCAAUCCGAAUUUGUGGUUUGGAUCAGAUUGUAUUACAAAUUCGAAUUGAGUUCGGAUGAGUUUUUCUCCAACCCGAAACCCGAUCCGAAUCCGAUUUUGCCCACCCCUAGCUGCUGCCUCUCAGUCUUCUUCUUCUUUAACUCCUUUAGAAGUCCAAAAUAGCCUAUACACUAUGAUCCAGUGAGAUACCCUGAACUCCAUAAAAUAAAUUUAUUGUUUUGGUGAGAUUUUACCCAUCCUCCUUGUGAACCAAAAUCCACUAAAAACAAUUAUAAUGGAAGAUAAUAUAAACAAAAUCUCACCCAAUUAACAAGGCAGUAAACAGUAAGCAACAUUAAUAUAUUUACAACAUGACAUAGCAUUUUAUAACAAUUAUCUGAAGGAAAUUAUAAACCUAAUAAUAUUUCAUUUUAUUAUAAAACUAUAAGCAUUGUAUAGCAUGACAAAGCAUUCAAUAGCAAUUUUAUGUAAUGUUUAUAGCUUUUUAUAGCAAAUGCAAAAUCAAAAUAAUAAAACUGAAAAAUAAUUCAAGUACUAUAUAUUCAUAGCUUUAAUCAGAGUCAUCGGUUUUUGAAUCAUCAAUGAGAGAGCUUAUCUUGAAAAUUGAAAGAUAGUAAAUAGAUAGAAGCUAAGACAAAUACAUCAAAGCUGAAAGUGAGAUGCUAAGAGAUCAAAGCAAAAGCAUAAGAUUAAAGCUGUAUGGAAGAUGAUGAGAUGCUGCUGACACUCAAAGUGGUCUCUCACACUCAAAAACUGUCACAAGUGCUCUUUAUCGCCUAUGAAAAUUGCUAGAAGUUCAAAAAGGAUAUGCCAAUUUUGAGAGACAAACUUUGACAUUCGAAGAAUAAAAAGUCAAAAUUAGGGAUUUUUAUUCAUUUAAAUUUGUUUGAGGGUGAAAUUAGAAAUUACGAAUUAAAUGAGGGCGAAAUAAGAAAAUAUGAUUUUAAUGGAGUAAAAUCUCAAUCUAGACUUCCUUAUUCAUCAAUGAGGAAUCUAAAUUCCUCAAAUAAUAAAAAUUGGAAUUGAAAUGGAGCUUGACUUUCUGUGAAAUUUUGCCAACCGAACAAAGAAAAACCAAUAGAAAGAGAAAAUAUCUCCUCUCUUGGUUGCCUCCUUUAUCCCCACCUAAAUGGCCUUAAGUAGUACCACGCUAUACAAAGUUCCUCAAAGAGUUAUGCACUAACAAAUGCAAGCUAAAGAGUAAAGAGGUAGUGAGUGUAGGGUAGAAUGUGUCUGUUAUUUUUCAAAGAAAGCUUCCACCAAAAUGAACAGAUAAGAAGUUUUACCAUUCUAUGACAAUUGGUAACACUGAAGAGGGUAAGGCGCUCAGUCCAGGUUAACUUGAACCAAACCAAUCCCGAAUUUUCAUUAUAUUUUCGGUUUGGUUCGGUUAAACCGGUUCGGUUAAACCUAAAAGCUGAACAAAUUGAACUCAUAAAGUGAUUGAUUUUGCAAUUUGGUUUAGAUUAACCCAAAGUGAAUUAUUAAACUGAUCGGGUUACAAUGAAAAAAAAAUAAGAAGCUUACACUAAAGGAAAAAAGCCCUAAAUACCCACACAACCUGUGAAAUCGAUCCAUAAAUAAAAUUCAAAACAAAUCCUCAUUGGUAGUGUCGUUAAGGUGCACCAAAUUUAAAACCUUACCACUAAUAUAAAUAAUUAGUACAAAGCGAGUAAGGAUCGAUCCCACAGAGACUAUGCUAGUUAUAUUUAUUUAUCAACUCUAAAGUAAGAUUUAAAAUAAAAUAAUAGUAGUAAUAAUAGAAUCUAAUCUAACUAAAGAAAAUGUCAAUUAUAAAUAAAAAGGGGGUUUAUGAAUUUUUAACUAAAUAGUAAGAAAUAAAGAAAUUAAAACUACGAACAAGAAUUUAAUAAAAACUCUAGUUAAAGGAAAAAGAAAUAAUGAUGAUGAAAACUUUGGUUCAAGGAUCAUUCGCCACCACCAAACAUGCACAUAAUAUAUCAAUUCUAUCAUCAAUUUAUAUUAAAACUAUCAACCGUAGACAACAAUAAGCUCUGUUAGUCUCAAUCUUUCCUUAGUGUGUCGUUAGGCAAAAUAAGCUCUUCACCUAAUCUCUAACCAUUAAAUAAUUUAAAACAAGCUCUUUAAAUUUAAGAUAAUGGAAGCAUUAAACAAAGAAAGAUAUUAGGUUGAUCUAGGCAAUAAACACACAAGCUCGGAUUAUUUAACCUAGGUUAUGUUCUCCAAUUGAAAUCACUAAUUUCAACCUGCUACUAAUAAUUAAAAUAUCAAGACAAUUACGGAUCAAGAAUUUUAAUCUAGCAAUAAAAUUUAUUCAAGUCCUAUCUAAUUGGCCACUAAAAAAAAACAAGAAUAAACCAUGUACAUUAAUUAUAGAAGAACAUAAACAAUCUCAAUUAAAUAAAUUGAAUGAUAGAAUUUAAAUUUAAUUGCAUAGCAUGUUUAAGGUUUUGAAUUCACCCUCAACCAAAUAAAAAUCUAGCCUAACAUGAUUGAAUUGGAAAUAAGAGAAUUGACAAAACCAAUCAUGGAGAUUAAUUCAAGCGGCUGCUGAUUUUUCUCUUCUCCUUGCGCCUGUUGAUUUUUUUCUCUGCCCGAAUUGUGUCUGCACCCCCCUCUCGCUCUCUGGCAGCUCUCCUUUUAUAAUGCUAGUUGACCGAAUUCUUCUCCAACAAGUCUAAAGAAAUCCUUUUUCAAUUCUAAUUGAAAUCAUUUUUCAAUUCUAAUUGAAAUCCUUUUCCAAUUUGAACUUUUAUUCCUUUUCAAUUUGAACUUCUUCAUGUCCUUUUUAUCCACAAUCUCCAAUUAAUUCCCUAUUAAAUAAAAUAAUACAAUUAAUUAAAAAUAAUAAAUAAAAAUAACUAGCAAAUAUAUAAUAAAGGGUAAAAUAUGUAUAUUAAUUAAUUCCCUAUUCAAUUAAAAAUUAACUAAAAUAACUAGAAUGUUUCAGAUCAAAACAAGAAAAAGAUGGAGAAAUUAAUAACAAAAUAUAUGAAAAAUAUGCACUUAUCACUCAUCCUCAUGGUCGUGGCCGCAUCUCUUCUCUCUCAAGUGUGAAGUUGCUGGUUGUCGGCUGCUGCCAUGCCGCUCCACAUCGGCACGACAAUAUAGCUGCACCAUGAUAGAGCUGCCGACAGCCACAACAGCCUGCAUAGACCUUCAUCCCUCAUUUCUCAAAUCAAUGUCACGUUAGCCCACAAUAGCCACACCAUGACAGCCUCAGCCGACCAAAGUAGUUCACAACAGCAGCUCAAGAGAGGAGAAGCAGUUGGCGAAAUUGAGGGUCAAUGCCCAGAGGGUUGUCAAAAAUCAUUGCUCUCAUCAAGUAAAGAUGAUUCAUAAAAGGUUUUUUUUUUUCAGUCUUAGAAGGGAAUGUUCUCAUUAUAUUUUGCCUUCCAUUUUGAUAUUGAUAGAUCAUAGAUUUAUUGCGGUAGUAUGUUUGAAGUAGAUGUUAUUCUAUAUGCAAAGUACUUGUUGAAAUUAGUUAUUUGGGUUAUCAAUUUGCCUCUUUGUGAUGUACAUGUUUCUACACUUUUGGAUUCUGUAGAAUUGUAUGUCAAAAUCUGUUUUAUUUAGUUAAUUUUUUGUCAUAGUUACUAUAACUCAAACUAUUUUGUAACCAAACUGUAUUUAAACCCGAAUUACGAACCCAAAAUUAAAUCAAAUUAUGAAUUGGAACUGACCUGAAUUUUAAACCAAUCCAAACCAAACUAAAAUAAUUUUUCAAUCUAUUUGGGUUAAAUUCUUAAACCCGAACGAGUUAUAGCCCAAAUUGAAAAUCGUAAAAAUCAAACUGAAAACUAAAAUGCCCACACCUACUAACACCAGGUUUGAAGAGCUAGCUAGACUUAGGUUCAUCUAUUAUUGUUAUGCUUUAUUUUAUUUAUCUAAAUUUGGCUUAAACUAACGCAGGUGGUGUAGCUAUUGAGCUUGGUUAUAGAUCUAAUGUUUAUCCAAAAGGUAUUUUAGAAGUUGUUUUAUACAAGUUAAUGUAUCUGUUUUUCCCACUAAUUUCUAUAUUCUUGAUAUGGAGGAUGAUGCAUUUCCUACGCCAACUUUAUUACUUCUAGGAAGACCAUUCAUGAAAAUGGCCAGAACUAAUGUAGAUGUGUAUAAUGGAACUCUAACUAUAGAGUUCAAUGGAAAGAUUAUCCAUUUUAAUAUUUUUGAUACCAUGAGGUAUUCAAGUGAUUAAAUUCUUGUUUUUCAAUUGACAAAAUUAAUCCGUUAGUGCAACAAAUCUUUGGGUUUACCAGUGAAGAUGAAUUGGCAAGUUUUAUUACAAAGAGCCUUAAAUCAGAAGAUUCUAAAAAUGCAAGAAGGGAGAUAAAAUUAUUUGACAAAAUUGAGGAGAUGGUCGCUUCUUUAAAAUCAUUUCCAAAAGUUCAAGAUAGGUAUAAUCUUUCUUUUCUAUCUUUAUAUUUAUCUAAUGAGAAAUUUUUAUCUUCUAUAAUAUAGGUGCCUACACUAGAAUUAAACUACUUCCAAAGUAUUUUAAAUACCAUGCACUCAUGGAUCUUUAUAAAUAAAAGGGAUUCAGGUCAAACUGAGGAGACUAAACCAAGUGCUAUUUGGAAAGCAGCCCAAUGGGAAAGCAUCAUAAUCAGAUUUGAAUCUUUUUCCUCGUACUUUCUUAUUCUUUUCAGUUAUUUAUGUAUUUAUUUAUUUUCUUUUUCUUUUUUGUUCAAUGAUUGUUUAUAUUUUAAGUGUUUAUUCUUUUUUUCUCACCAUUAAUCCUCUCAAUGGAUAAAUAAGAAAGAUUGAUUCAUUAAUUACCUUUUUCCUUUUCUUAUAAAGAUUGAUUCUUAAAGGACUAUCUAGGUAUCUUAUUUCCGCCUACGUUAAAAAUGGAUUUUGGAGCUAUUUUGAUACGUAUGCCUAUUUUCUUGGUUCAAUAUCCUAUUCUUAUAUGGAGGUUAAAAAUUAGUUUUAUUAGUCCUACAAGGAUUCAGACAGUAACUAUAUAUAGGCAACAAAUUAGACGCCCUAAAAGAAGAGAAAACAUGAAGCAUCAAUUUAGCCAAAAGAAGAAUGUAAGGAAGAGAAAAGUAGGCAAAUUAGAGAGAAGACUUGGCUGCUUUAGUAUAAUUCAAUUGAUAAGACUGUCAUUCUCAUAUCUUUUAUUAGUUUUCUUCCAGGGAUUUGAUGCUUAAUAAUUCAAACAUAUGUGACUAAUCUUUUUAUUGGUUAGGGUUGAUUUAGAAACCUUAGAUAUGGAUUUUUAUUAAUAAAGAUUCCGAAUCAAAAUUUCUUCAUCCUUUCUAGUUAAUUUUAUAUUUCACUAAUUUUAAUGUUCAGGAAAUGCACUAGUUGAGAGGAUUAUAUUUCACUAAUUUUAAUGUUCAAUCUAAUUUUCAUUGUUUGAUUGGAUAUGGAAUUCAUCUUUCUCCCCUUGUUUCUUUCCCUUCUCAUUCUUUCCUUUUCACUCCACUCUUCUCCUUAUAUUUCUUCAAACUAAACAUACCAUAAUAUCAUUUUUAUCUUAGAUUACUUUCCAGAGGGUAAAAUCAUCAUUUUAUUUUCUUAACUUAUACUAGGGAUAAAAUAAUCUUUUAUCUUUGAUUUAUUUUUAUUUUUUUGUAGUAGCUAAUGGAAUUAAUAAAAAAGUAAUGGGUUGAUACAAAAUUUAAACUUGAAGUGGUGCAGAAAUAUUGUCAGAAACUCAUGGUGGCUAUUUACAUUUUUUAAAUCUUGAGGUAGUAAAUAGUAAUUUAUCAAAUUAAUAUUCUACCAUCUAAUAUUUGAAUGUAUAUAUUAGUUAGGACUCAAAUUAAGACUCAAGUAUUGAUUUCUAUGCAUUCAAAAAUUUAUCUCCACAAAAGCUUGUUUAUGUUUAAAGACAAUAAGAUUUCAAGAAAAAAGUAACAGAAAAUUAGUUUGUGUUUAGGAUGGUCAACAAGACUGCGAAAGAAAAAUAUUAGUUAAUUCACAACGUUAGAAAUGAGAAAAAAAAAAAAAAGCUUGUAUAAGAAAAAGAGAUGUUGUAAAUGUGGUGGAUUCACCAUUUGUCCCUCAUCGAAAAAUUAACAACCUCCACUCUUGUUUGGCUUGUAGAUGAAUCAAUUAACAAUAGAUUAACAAUAAUAAGUUAUUAACAAGGUACUUGAAGUACUUUGUUUUGGAACACGUAUGAAUACGAUAGUUAAUUUGACAUGGGCAGUUUAAUUUCUACUCCUUGUGUUUAUUUAUACUUAUUUCUUUUAUGUCUUAUUAUAAUGUUUUUAUAAUAUUAGUUUAUCAUGUUGUUAAUUGGUUUGUUUCAAAUAAUUUGAUUUAUAUGGCUGGUUCUAUAAUAAUACCUAUAUUGUUAUUCUAUUAAUAUGAUUGGUCUUAUUUAUUAGCUUAUAUGGCUGAUUUAACUGUCUCUCAAGUUAUUUUAAUUACAAUAAAUUAAGAUUUAUUCUUGCAUAUAUUUGUCGUUGAAUAUUAUUCUUAUACCCUGAAGUUUACAGCACAAAUGAGGUAGUAAGAACCUGAAGUUUUGAGUUAUGAUUUUAGAAGUUAGAACCUAAAAUUCUAAAUUCAUGCAUAAGAUUUCUACAUAUUUUCAUGAUUUUUCUUGUUUAAAUUACAAAUUUUAUAUUAGUUUCAAUAAAUUAAGAUUUGUUCUUGCAUUUAUUUUCUUGGAAUAUUAUUCCUAUAGCCAAAAGCUUACAACACAAAGGAGAUGGUAAGAACUAGAAAUUUUGAGUUAUGAUUUUAAAAGCUAGAACAUGAAAUUAUAAAUACAUGCAUAAGAUUUCUAAAUAUUUUCACGAUUUUUCUUGUUUAAAUUAAAAAAUUUAUUUUGUGAUAAUUAUUUUUUCUUUGAUUAUUAAUACAAGGUUUAGAAAAAUGACGAAUAUCACGAACUUGCAAAGUUCCAUCCAUGAAGCUUUUGGAAGAAGCUACCUUUCUUGGGUGUUGGAUGCCAAAAUUCACCUGCAACUUAUACGCCUGAAGGCAUUAUAGCAGAAGGAAAGGAAGCAUCGUUGUGGGAAAAAACAAAAGCUAUAAUUUUCUUUCGCCAUCAUUUACAUGAGAGUCUAAAAUAGCAAUAUCUGAUAGUGAAGGAUCCGUUAACUUUGUGGAAUCACUUCAAGGACAACUUAGACCACUAGAGGGGUAUUUUCCUCCCAAUAGCAAAAACAAGAGUAAUUGGACAUAAGGUAACGGUAACAAGAAUAUGUAAAAUUUUCGGGAAAUUUAUAAAAAUGGCCAUAAAACUUUUGCAUUUUUCAACUUUAGCCCUUCAAAGUUUUUUCUAUCAUAAUUAGCCAAACACCCUAUGUUUGGACUACAUUACCCUCAUCACUUUCAUCAAAUUUACAAAGUCAUGCCACUUUUUCAAUUCCAGUACAAGUAAAUACGGAUCUUCCUCAAUAACUUAACAAACCUUCAUCACUCUCAACAAACUUCAUCAUUCUCGAUAAAUCAAUUGCAUAAUUGAAUAUAUAAUCAUCAAUGGGAGAGCUUCUUAAAAUUAGUUUAUGCUCUUACACAAUGUAAACCUUUAAUCUAUUGAUUUUAUCAACUAAGUUCGAAAUUAAAGUGGGUUUUGUUGCAAAUAUUGUUAUUUUUCAUUCAUAAAACAAUGUGAUUUGUUAAAGUACUUAGUUUGAGUUGAGAAAUGAAGAAAAAUCAUUGAAAACACAGAAAAAUCGGACAAAAAAUGAAGUUAAGAACAAGUGAGACAUGCAAGUGCAUGUCUCACAUAAACGCACUGCAUUUAUGUACGACAGGCACCUGUCCCACUGCCUGUCGCACAUAAACCCACGGAUUUUAUGGAAUACAUGAUUUUGGAUUUGAUUUGCCUUGUCGUAAGCUUCGAAACGGUAUAUUAUACGCCUAAAACGGACAUAUAUAGCUCAAGUUAUGGCUUUCGAAACAUAUAUGAAAUUUAGUGAGACAGACAAGUGAGACAGGUGCCUGUCUCACUAAAUUUCAUAUAUGUUUCAAAAGCCAUAACUUGAGCUAUAUAUGUCCGUUUUAGGCGUAUAAUAUACCGUUUCGAAGCUUACGACGAGACAAAUCAAAUUCAAAAUCAUGUAUUCCAUAAACGCCGUGAGUUUAUGUGCGACAAGCAGUGGGACAGGUGCCUAUCGCACAUAAAUGCAGUGCGUUUAUGUGCGACAGGCACCUGUCCCACUUGCCUGUCGCACUAAAUUUCAUAAUGUUUCGAAAGCCAUAACUUGAGCUAUAUAUGUUCGUUUUAGGCGUAUAAUAUACCGUUUUGAAGCUUACAACGAGACAAAUCAAAUCCAAAAUCAUGUACUCCAUAAAAUCCGUGGGUUUAUGUGCGACAAGCAGUGGAACAGGUGCCUGUCGCACAUAAAUGCAAUGCGUUUAUGUGAGACAGGCACAUGUCCCACUUGCAUGUCUCACUUGUUCUAAACUUCAUUUUUUGCCUGAUUUUUCUGUGUUUUCAAUGAUUUUUCUUCAUUUCUCAACUCAAACUAAGUACUUUAACAAAUCACAUUGUUUUAUGAAUGAAAAAUAACAAUAUUUGCAACAAAACCCACUUUAAUUUCAAACUUAGUUGAUAAAAUCAAUAGAUUAAAGGUUUACAUUGUGUAAGAGCAUAAACUAAUUUUAAGAAGCUCUCCCAUUGAUGAUUAUAUAUUCAAUUAUGCAAUUGAUUUAUCGAGAAUGAUGAAGUUUGUUGAGAGUGAUGAAGGUUUGUUAAGUUGUUGAGGAAGAUCCGUAUUUACUUGUACUGGAAUUGAAAAAGUGGCAUGGCUUUGUAAAUUUGAUGAAAGUGAUGAGGGUAAUGUAGUCCAAACAUAAGGUGUUUGGCUAGUUAUAAUAGAAAAAACUUUGGAGGGUUAAAGUUGAAAAACGUAAAAGUUUUAUGGCUAAUUUUGUAAAUUUCCCAAAAUUUUCUGACUACAACUCUACUUUGUUCCGCAUCAAUUAAAAACUAAUAUUUUGUGGUGGAAAAAAUCACUAGAAAUGAUAUGCUUGAAAAGACACUCUCUACAUUUCAUGCAUCACAUGUAAUCUUGCGACAAUAAUAUCGAGACUGUUGAUACACUAAAUACUCUAAGCUGAUAACAUUUCUUUUGAUUGUUGAACAAAACAAUAAACUAUUGACGAAAAUCAUGAAUUACAUCCACUAAUUCUCAAUUAUUCGCAAAAGUCAAUGCAAAUACAUGUGCCAAUAAUGAACCUAAUCGAAGAAGCAAGAGAAAACGUGGUUAUUUCCCUCAUCAUGGUUAUAAACACUCAGGAUAAUAGAACAACAAAAAUGGACACCACCAGAAGUGAAGUGUCUAUCAGAGGCAUGACAAGGACAAUAGUGCAAAAAUGAAAAAUGUUAGAAAUGGAAGUGAAGAAAUUUGCUAUUGAUGUGGCAGAAGAGGACAUUGGUCACUACCUACGUACAGACAAACAAUUGGUAGACCUCUAUCAAGCAUCUAAGAAAGAAGGAACGAUUGAGACUAAUCUAGUCGAUGGAUUAAAUCCUGUUGAUUUAAAUAAUCUUAAUGUCUUCAAUUUCUUCGAGGCACAAAAGGGGAAAUCAAUCAAGUAAUUGGUUAUGGAAAUUUCCACACUAAGUAAUACCAUAAUAAUUAAGUUAGUAACAUGUUAACUUUUGUUCUUUAAUUUUAAUAGUUUCAUCAUAUGUUCUUAAUAUUCAUAUCUAAUCCUGAUGACUAAUAUGAACUUUUUUUAAUACAAAGUUAUCGAUUUUAGAAAUAAAUUAUCUAUUUUAGAGAAGAAAGUUGGGGAUGUAUACUUGGCUAACACACACUAUUCUUCAAAAUAAAAAAUAUUUUUUGGAAACAAAACUAUUCGAAGGAAAAGAAAAUACUAUAUUUGAACCUACAGACCCAAUUAAAGGGUUCGAAAUAGCAAGUGGAACAAAAUAACAAUCCAAAAAUGCCUAAUAUUAAGCAAGAUCCAAAAAAAAAAUCUAUUGAACUUUAAACAUAUCCACUAAAAUGGAUAUCACAUUGCGACUUUAAAUAAAAACAAUGUGAAAUACCUCUGUAUUACUAAAACUGUCUCAAUGAGGAAAUACAUAUUACAAAAUCUUCCAACAUUCUUCUUAGGAUCUAUAAUGAUUGAGCGCUAUGCAAUAAUGGAAAAGAAGUUCACAGAUUUAAAAAUAUUUAUGUUGUAGGAUGACCGUCUUAAACACUCAGGAUCUAUAAUGAUGCUUAAAAUUAUUGAAAAUUCUCAUGAACAUCCAUUAAAGAACUAGAAAUUUCUAUUAUAAAAUGAGAUUGUUUUUACUGCUUACUCCCAAGAAAAGUUUGUGGUCAUACCAUCCAUCCUCUUCUAAGGUCAGUCAUUAAUCUCCAUCAACUUUAUAAAUAAUUCAAGGAGAUAUAGAUGGACCAAUCCAUCCACCUAGCGAACUAUUUCGUUACUUCAUAAUUUUGAUUGAUGCAUCACUGUAAGGUGGUUUUGUUUGUUGUUUGCAUGCACUAUUGCAUUUGUAAGACUGUUUUCCCAAAUUAUAAGAUUAAGAGCACAAUUUCCAGAUUAUCCAAUUAAGGCUACAUGUCUUAAUAAUGUUAGUGAGUUUAUAUUAAAUAUAUUUUAUGACUAAUAUACAUCAGUAGGUAUUGAUGUUGAAUAUUUGAUUCCAUAUGUACAUACACAAAAUGGAUUGUAAAAUCGUUGAUUAAGUAAUUACAGAUAAUUGCAAAAACAUUACUUAUGCAUAUAAAAUUAAAAUAUCUGCAAGGGGUCAUACUAUUUUAUGUGUUGCGACAUUAAUUCAUUUUUGACCUAGUGCUUAUCAUUAAUGUUGUCCAUUACAAUUUGUACUUAGUCAACAACCUAACAUUUCCCAUCUAUGCACUUUUGAUUAUGUUGUGCACAUUCCAACAUCACUCCCUCAGUGCACAAAAAUGGGACCUCCAUAUCAUUUGGGUUUUUAUGUUGGUUUUAACUUAUCUUCAGUUAUAUGAUAUCUUGAACCCUUGACAAGUGAUCUUUUCAAAACACUUUUUACGGAUUGCCACUUUGAUGAGACAAUUUUUCCAUAAUUUCCCCUUAAAUAAGGCAUGAACUUUCUUGGAAAGUUUUCUCUUUUUCUCAUUUAGAUUUUUGUACGAAUCAAUGUUAAAACAAAGUAUGCAGGAUAAUACUUUUGCAGCUUUUUGCAAGUUAAUCACUGGAUGCAUUUACAAAUACAUCAAAAGUAACUAAAUUAUAUAUUCUAGCUAUUAAUAGAUUAGUCCUAGUGAUUGUUCCUACUAAAUAAUUAUGUGUAAAAACAACUAAUAAGUUAUCUAUUACACAUCAGAAGCAUGACAUACAAUUGGUUCCAAAGACGUUGUUCCCUAGAAAAAGGAGAAUUGAAGAUCAAGAUCUUGUUAAAAAUAAUGUUUAAGCUAUAAAUAUACUCAUAUGAUCUAAAUCAUCGGUUCUAGAUGAACUGAUGGUCCAUGGCGAGACAUAAGUCCUUGAAGAGAAAUUAACUCCCGAAGAGGUACGAAAACAUAAAAAUGAGAAAAAGUCUACAAAUUAUAUUUAUACAAGAGAAAUGUGAGAUCAUAAUGAAAUAGACAUCGAGAAUGUAUUCUUAUUAACAGUAGCUACUGAAAUUAGAAAUUAUUUUGUGUCUCAAAUUAUUAAUAAAUGUAGAUAAAGGCAUGAUUAACCUCAAUGUAAAGAAGCAAUUGAAGUAGAAUUUACUUCUCUUGUAAAAUGCAAAAUUUUUGAACCAGUAGUUUAAAUACUUGAAGAUGUCAAACCCAUUGGACACAAAUGGUAUUUGUUAGAAAACAUAAUGAACAUAAUGACACUAAAUACAAAGUGUGACUAGUUGCACAAUGUUUCUUAUAGAGAUCUAGUAUUGGUUAUAAGGAUAUGUAUUUUCUAGUGAUAGAUACUGUUAUGUUUUAAUUUUUAAUCAGUUUAACAGUCUCAGAAACGCUUGAAAUGCAUCUCAUGAAUGUAGUGACUUCAUGUUUUUAUUAAAUAAAAGUAAGUUUAUAUUAUUUUAAUCAAGUUUUUUUAAAAAGCAGUUACAGUACUUCUCCCUUUUUAGUAAUAAUGAUAUAAAAAUAAUAUAAUAUUAAUUGAAGAGAGGGAAGUUGAAGAGUGAGAAAGACAAUUUCAUUUGAAAAAUCUUUUGAAAUCUUUGUUACUGAUGUAACUCUUCAAAUAAGUAAUAAAGAAUGAAAUCUAAAAGAACAAUUUUCUAAAGUGGAGCAACCAAACAAACUAAAGCUAAAUAUAUGUACCGGUUGAAGUACAUAAUUGAAGUAUUUGACGUCCUUCUCAACUACUAACAACCCGCUAUUGGUAAAUCGCUUAUAAUUGCAUUGCACCUUAAUCACUUUGGCACCUACUUACUUAUUUAACCGCUAGUAAAUUGAUUUUUACAACACCUUAAUCUUAAACACUCUCAUAGACAUUUUAAAACCAACAUUAAUUUUUAACCCUGUUUCAAACUCCGCCUAAUCAAGACGGGGUAUUGUGGUAAAAUCCUUUUGGAAAUGAUCAUAUAGGACCAUGCUCGGCCGUUUCGAACGAUUCCCCUAGUGGCUUGUGCUUGUAUGACAUACUUUGUGUUGGCAUGAGCAACAAAUUUCACGGGUGCUGCCUCAUCUAAGAAUCAGCCUCGUUAUUGGCAAACAUUAUAGGCAUUUGAAUUGCCAGUAUGCAGUUAAUUGCUCUGCUACCCAAAGGAUCAAAAACACAAUCAAAUGAUAUUGAACCGCGCGCUCAUCAUUCAUUCAUUCAUUAUUAUUAUUUUGACGACUCAAGAGCACUAUUUAUUCAAUCUCUCUCUCCCUAGCUAGGGGCAGGGGAGUUAAUAUUUUACAAUGUGAAAGGGUCAAAACUUAUUAAAAUUAAAGCUCUUCUAAAUAGGAAUGUGAAUUUAUUAAUAAUCCUCUGAUGUAUAUGUAUUCACAAAACUUCAACAGCAGCUGUCGCACCGCAAUGCAGCCCACCAAAAUUUUCCAUCAAAUCAAACGUUAACAUAGAGGCUGCAGCUUUGGGUUUUGGCUGUCUGUCCGCAUAGGCAUAGCUCACUACAGGCAUCAUUAUCAAUGGUGUUGUUUCUGCUGUUGAUCUUUGGUAUCCCCCAAGCCACUUCGCUUGCAUGUACUUGUGCUUUCUCCAUGGAGCAAUAUGCAUUUUCUUCUCCUUCAUACAUUUCUUCGCCGCCGCACACAUAAUCUUGAUCACCGCCUUUAAUCUCUCUGUUUUUCCAACGAACACUUCCGGUAGCCGGUUUACCAACCGAUUGUACUCUUCACUCGCUCUCGCCAUCUCGAAUUCAGCCCGGAAAUUCAACUCAAUCACCACCUUGAUCAAAUCUCCUUUCUUCGAUUUUUCCACCACUUCUAAAUAAGUGUGAUUUCCUGGGAAAAAACAUAAGUACAAAAUCUAUUUUAAUUCCAAUCAGGGAAUUCCAACUCUGGAAUGAAUUAAAAUUAUAUAUAUAUACCUGCAGGAAUUUCGGAUGAGCUCUUCCAUUUAGACUUGCAAAUGACACAAUUGUACGCAACAUUCUGAAGCCUAACGGAAAUUUCUUUCCGCAUGCAAGCCCGGCAACCACCGGCCACCGGUGUCCGGCAAGUGCAUUUUGAACCAGCCAACUUAAUCUCUUCUAAACUAUACUUCACAGCCUGCCGAAGCUUUGAUUCAAAACUACUAGUCCUACCUAUUGUGGCCUGCAAAAUUAUAGCAAAUUUGACAAUUCAAUUCUCCAAUCUUCAUUGCAAAUCAUUUCUGUUUUCUCACAAUUACCCAAAUGAAAUUUACCUGAAGAAGCUUUUCUUGCGCUUCCCAAAAGGCCUUAUUUUCUUCAACAUCUUCAUUGUCAUCCUCUUCACAAUCACAUAAAUUUCCUACGGUGGACUCACUGCUUUCCUCCACAAACCCAAAUACAAUAUCGGAGAAAUUCGCCGUUCCCUCUAGAAACCUGGCGAUUUCUUCCGAAUACGGCUGGCUCACCGGAUUCUUGGCCAUGGAAGAAUUUUUAUUUUUUAUAUUUUUGUGUAAUCAGCAAAUCCUAAUCCACGUGCUCUGUAUGGUUCCCUAAAAGUGUUGUUGGCGAUAUUUAUAGCUAGAUUUUGGGUCCCACAUAGGACCUAGUUGUCCGAGGUGGACGAACGAGGCGCCGCACUCGAACAUGAAUGUCUGUUUCUUGCUUACGUGGACAGUUAUCAUUGGAUGUUCAGCUAGUUGUAUUUUUGUUCCCAGCUGGUUCCAUGUCAGCCAGGCCAACAAUUAUUGCUGGUUUGGAUAUACUUGAAAUAUUCUAUUGUUAGAGUUUAAAUGAUUUUUUUUUUUUUUUGGAGUUCUAUAACGAUAAUAAUAAUCGUAAAAAUAGAAAUAAUCUGGCUCAUAUCUGAUAUAUGAUGUUGGUGGUGGGGACAGUUGGAGUUGAAUCUGACGGCUGAGAAUUAAGCAGUUGGAUUCACGAUGGGCACUGAAGGUGCAUGAUCUUAUCUGGUGAUGUUGACGUGUAAGCUUAUCUAGUUUGAAUGGGACCAGCUUUUUGUCUUAAUUUUAUUGUGGUUUACUUCAUGAAUAGGGAUAUUCCACUAAUUUUAAGCAUCUCGAUCGUAUUGCCAAAAAAUAAAAAAUAAAAGCAUCUAGAUGUUUGUGCUUAUGUAAAUGAUUAGCAUUGAAACAUUCAAAUUUGGGGUUUCUGUACUUUUUGUUUGGACCAAAAUGCCCUGCAAUCGAAAGCUUUGUUAAAUUAUUUGCCUAUUGUUAGGGCAAGAUCGACAGAUUGGUACUUUCGUAGUAUUUAUGAGAGACAAUUUUGUCAUCUUAAAAGGUGAAAAUGGUUUAAGAUUACUAGCCUAUGCUCCUAAAACAUUAAAAAAAAAAAUGAGUUAGCUAAGAUGGUUUUCAUGCCAAAGUUAACAAAGUUGCCCCAUGGAUAAUGUGGCAGAGUUAUCUUGAGGCCAUAAACAUAAUAUUUUAAUCUAUUUUUAUGUCAAUUUUAAUAUUUAAGCUCUUGUUUUUAAUUAUAUUUAACCCCCUAAACUUAUUAUGUUUAUACUAUGGUCUUCUUAAGUUUAUUAUUUGAAAUUAUGACUCUUUAAUAUAAAUUCCUACUUCUGUCCUUGAGGAUAAAUUGGUCAAGGAAUUUUUUUUUAAAAAAAUUAAAUGUAUCAUAAUGUAUCUGCAUAAAAUUAAUAAAUAUGAAUCUUAUCUCAAAAGCGUUUUACUAAAAAAUAGAUUAAGUUGCUCAAUUAAUAGUCAUAUUAAAAAAAAAGACGUAGAAUUCAAUUCUCUUAGAAUAAGGGGUGUGAUCAUUUGAGAUCUUCACAAGCAAAAUGCAAAAUAGUGAUUAGUGACUAUGAGAUAAGAAUAUAAAAAGUAUCUGAUCUUAACUGGAGACACCAUGCGGCCAAAUGUGGCAUGCAUAAUAUCCUAGCUGUUUUCACUCAAUAGAUAAUUGUGUUAUAACAUAUUCAUAAAAUCGGAACCAAAUGAUUAAAACCGGUUUUAAUUCGUUAAAAGGAGAUAAAAAUUAAAAACAAUUACUAGAUUUUCUAUCUAAUAAUAGUUGCAACCAACAACAAAUUUUGAUAGACUUUAGUGACUCAUACUUCAUCAAGCAAGAUUGUUUCAAUGAAUGGGUUAUUCCUAUUAUGUUGUUGCCUUGUUGGGCAUAAUACUAGCAAAGUCAAACUUUAAAUUUAUUGUUAGCAGUGAGACUAUUUAUUUAUUUUUUAGUGUAUUAAACUAUCUGGUAUCCGAAAAUUACAUUGAGUCUGGAUUAAUCUAUAUUCGAGUCGGAUAGGACCACUAGGUAGCAAAUCUCUCCCAACAAAUAUUUAACACAACUGCAUUCCCAAGUCUCAAAGCGAUGACCUUGAUUAAUUUAGAAUAACCCUAUGCAGUGAGACUAUUUAAACCCAAUAUACUACUCUAUAAACUCAAUCUUUUGAGAGACUCAUUUACAAUAUUUUAAAUUUAUAAUUUCCCUUUAAACACCCAUUUUAAUUCCCAAAAUAUCCUUAUAUCUAUUUUCUUCAUCGGUGAACAUUGAAGAGCUUUAUUUCAUUAUUCCCGCAAUAAUUUCGUACCUGUAAACUUCAUGAGGGACCCUUAUGAGAUUAUUUUUUCAUAAUCAAUGUACGUUUGUUCAUUAUAAAGUUUUGAAGUGGAGGAAGAUCCUUAAUUUUGGUUUGGCAAUAAGCAAAUAGACAUUUGGAGUUUUGUGCAAAACUUAAUUCAAUAUUAUCGUCUGCAAUCAAAUUGCAUCCACUUUUGAUUUGAUCAUAAUUUUUUUUUAAUUUAGUGUAAUUCUUUUUUCUUUUUUCUCCCUCCGCACAAAUCUAAGGAUUUUAAACGUAGUCUGUGAAAUGAAACUUGAAAAACAGUGUUGUUACUACUUUGAAUAAAUAUUGAUAUUUUAUUUUCUGUGUGUUUCACUACAAAAAAGCUGAAAGCAUAAUCUUCAACGAAUAAUAGGACAUUGUUUUCUUUUAUCAUGGUGUCUUGUCAAGUGGAAAAAAUAAUUUAUUUGAGAUUUAGCAGAAGAAAUUAUAACUUAGAUCGUGAAGAAGAGAAAAAGGAACUUCUAAGUAAAUUAAUUUAAGGGAAUACUUAUAAUAUAAAAUUUUAUAAAAAAAUUAAGUGUCAAGAAUAUUUUAAUGGUUUCAAGCAUCUUUAUCCGUUGUCUAACAACUGUAAAAGAAUUAAUAAUUUAACAGCAGAACUGCUUUGGCCUUUGAGUUUAUCUAUUCGGAAUUAAUUAAUUAAAAAGAAAUAUACGUAUUGGUUUCUUACUUAAAAAAAUAAAGAAAAAGUGACAUAAUCCUGUUUCCAAAUGGCUCUAUUUGACUUUGAUAUUCUUCAACAGUAUGCUGAAGUGUGACAAUGCCGACGAUUGAUGUUAAACAUCCUAAGUUAGUACAAGUGCAUAGCCACAAAUCUGCAAACGUACCAAAUUUUAGUAUUAUAAUCGAAUGGUAGCAACCUAUGGAAACGAUAUGAAUGAAAAUUAUACCGUUAUAACAUCUUUCACAUUGCACCUUAAUUUGAGGGUAAAAGAUAACACAAAGUAUUCCUACUUAAAUAUGGCGAUUGGGUUUCACUAGCAGGAAACAGCUGAGCCGUGCCAAUGGACUGCCACAACAACUAAAUUUGAGGUCCUACACGGUUCAUGGACACCUCACACUGAGGUACUUUUAUCGAGUAUAGAAUUCAAGACUUCAAGUAAACUAGUUAGGGAAAUUAUUAAUCGUAUACCUUUAGUUUACUUUGUUAUCAAAUUUACUACAAUACUUUUAGGGUAUAUCAGUCGUCCACCCUAAGUUAACAAAAUGUAUCUGUCGUCCACCAAACCGUUAGUUUCCGUUUAAAUAUGAUGACGUCAGAGGGGUAAUUUGGUCUUUUCAUAUGAUACAAGUGAUAAUUUAAUAGUAUAUAAGUGAUAAUAAGAGAUUUUAAGAGUAUAUAAGUGAUAAUUUUCAAGGGUACAAUUGUCAAUUCACUAUAGUCCCGUUAACUUUCAAACGGCAGCUAGCGGUUUAGUGGUCGGCAGAUAGCUUUUGUUAAUUUAAGGUGGACGAUUGAUACACCCUUAAAGUGUUUUAAUAUGUUUGAUAAAAGCGCAAAUUUAAGGUAUACGAAUGAUAAUUUCCCAACUAGUUAUCCUUAUCCACUAGGCUUAAUUAGUAAGAAAUCAUAAUGACUAUAUAAAAAGACUAAACUAAACCAUAGUGCUCUUAAUUAAUUUAUUAAUUUGAAACAUAUUAAUUGCUUUUAAUAAAACAAAUAAAAAUUAAAAGUAUACUAUAAUCUUAAUUAGUGUAGAAAAAAACAACAAAUCUUGCAUUAAUAAUACAAAUUUAAUUCUAUUUUGAUAGCAUGAUUUAUGUUUUAAAAAUAUAAAACACUAACUAUUUAUACAAAUUCAAUUUAACUCAAACAAUUAAUAAGAUGACGAUGCAAGUGUCUUAAACCAUACAUCAAAAUUAACAAAAUGGUAGAAAUUCUGAUGAUGAAGACAAUGAUCAUGUGAUGAUGUUCACCUUGAAUUUAAUGAUGAUAAUGACAAUAAAAAUAAAGAUAAAACUUAAAAAUGGUUUUAGUGAAUAAAAUUGUUAUAAUAUACAAAUGAUAGAUAGUUUGGUUCUGCAGUAGGUGCCAAACCUAAUUAGAAUGUACUACAAACUAUUGUGAUGCAAAUUAUGUCAUAUUUCAUUUUAUUUGUAAUUUGUAUCUUUUCAUAAAACUAAAUUUUAUUUUAUUAAUCCAUCAAAAAAUAUUAUUUUUAAUUUAAUUGAAUAAUAUUUCUAUUUAUUUUUAAAUAUUAAAUUAUUAAUAAUAAUACAAAUCGUUCGGUCAAUUAAAUUAACCUAGUUAAUAGAUUUAUCAAUGUGAAAUUAAAAAUUUAGAAUACAAACUAAAAUUUCAUAUCUAAAGUUCAAACUUUAAACUUUAAAAAUUAAAUUUAAAAUUUUAUUUUUCCAUAACAAAACAAAAUAAGAAAUCAACAAAGUAUUUCAAAAAUAUUGGAUAUGGCAAAAUGCUUGCUCAGCUCAGUCCAUUAAUGGAACGUGCCGGCUGUACCAUGCCGUGCCCUUAUGGACUAUUGGCGCAUCUCUAUUCCUAGUAUUUUGAAAAUACCUAACUGGACCCCUUAAUAACUUUCAUCAGUUUGGAUUCUUCAAUGAAAUCGAACUUUGUAUUAUAGAUCUUAGCGAUGUUGAAACGAAUAAAAGAAGCGCAGACGCAAUAAUUACGAACAGAUUAUGGCCUCAUUAUAAUUCAAUAAAUACUAAGGUGGUGUUUAAUUGGGGAGGGUGGGUGAAAGGAAGAGAAUUCAAAAUCCUUUUGUAAUUUCCUUUGCCAUCGAAUUCAUCUUCUGGUUGAUAGCGGAAUUAAAAUGUAUGAAUUACCAACUUUGACCCAACUUAAUGCAAGGUGGGCCCGCAUAAAACUUGGAUUCCACCAAUAUCUUAUUUAAUGCAAUAUAAACAUUUAUUAAUAAAAAAUGAGUGGGACUAUUGACACCAAUCUAAAUACCUCUUUAACAUCCCUUGUCUUUAUUAACUCCAUUAAAAUAUUUAAAAAUAAUAUAAAAUUCUUACCCUUAAUUAAAACUUAUUAGUUUAAACUCAUUCGUUAAUUUUUAUUUAUUUUUAUUAUGAAACCCCAUUUCUAACAAUAGGAUUUUUUCGAUUCAAAAGAAAAAAUAACGGUUUCUUCUCUUUUCAUAUAUAGUGAUAAAUUCUUUUCUUUAUAUAUUUUAUUUGAGCAUAAAAACUUGAUUAAUAAAUAAGUUUCAAAGAGCUGUUCUUCAUUAUAGUCUGAAAUUUCAGUGGUUUCAAGCUUAAUUUGCUACUUGCCUUCGCCUUCCUUAGCUACUUUUACCGUCUUAAGAAACAUGAAAAUUAAUUUUAGAUGAAGGGAAAUCUUGAAAUGUGAGAUGCUGUAAUAUCCGUUUUUGCACAAAAUGAAUUAGUUACAUUUGAAAAUAUAUUUUCAAUGGCAUUCAUCAAAGCUAGUUCAUUUUGAUGAGAUGGACAUGGAUGAUGGCUGGGAUUGGAUUUAGAGGAGUGUGUGGUGGGAUGGGGCCAUUAAUGAAUUUGGCUAUGCCCAGUUGUUUGGGAAUUUGUUGAGAGUGGUGGUGGUGGUAUGAGAUUGCAAAACUCAUGACUGGCCGCCAGUAGAACUUAAAACUCUUACAUGAAAAUACGUCGUAUAAAGAAUUUUUAAGGGAAAAAAUUAUUUGACUUUUGAGUGAAGUUUAAUUAAAAAUUGUCCUAUUAUGUAAUUUUAAUAAAGAUUAAAAUUGUAAAAGAAUUAAAGGGAUUUUAAGAGGUAUUUGGAGGGAUGCCAAUAGUCCCACUCUAAAAAAUUAGUAAAAAUUAAUGAAUUGAUAUGAAGAUACCUUUUAAUUCAUAUUCAAGAUCUUAUUAAUUUAUUUUAAUGUAAAGGCAUUGGAUUUUGCUUCUAAUGUUGAGAAAAAAAUUGACUUCAUAAUUAUAUUGGAUUUUAUAUAUACACACACGCUCAUUCAAUGUAGGAGUGAUUAGAUAGUAAAAAGAAACAUUAAAAUAAAAAUUAAUAUGAUAAAAUUAUAUUAAAAUAAAAAAAUAAAUUAUAAAUAUGAUUGCAAUUUAAACUAAUUAUUUAUUAAUAAUUAAAUAUUAAAUACAUUUCAAGUUUAAAUAUUUUUCAAUAAUAAAUAUUGAUAAUUUAACACUAAAAGGUGAAAUUGUUUAAGAAAAAGUAAUUUCUUUCAUGUUAAAAUUUCAUACCAAACUAAAUAAAGGAAUUUGAAAAUCAUUCCUUCUCUCUUUUCUUCUCUAUUCCUCUCAUUUCAUGUCCUCUCCUUUUUUCUAAUUUCUUCGAACUAAACACAAACUAAAAGUAGAUAUCAUUUCAAUGAAAAUUUUCAUAAACCGAUUUUUUUUUUUGAAACGUCAUAAACCGAAAUUUUGUACAUUUUAAAAUUCAAAUUAAAACUCUCAUUAUAAAAACUCUUUUGUACAAAAAGUUUUGGAGUUAAUUCUUUUCGUUUAAAUAAAAAUAAAUUUACUGACACCCGCACUCCUAAUUACAAAUUAUUUCAUUUUCUUACGCCAAAUGGAACAACAAUUGACAAAUAUGAUUAUCUCUGACCCAGACAUGGAGUAGCCACAACUCGCAAAUGGGAAUUAUCUUAUGCUAACAAUUUUGGUGCCUCGCCAUGGUCAUAGGCAUUGCAUAAAAAUAUUUACAGUCAUAUGAAUAAUUUAAAACAUUUGAUAAAAUUACUAUACAAUUUGUUGAGGGAUUAAUUUUAGAUUAUCCCCUUAUAAAUUAACUAUCUUCAAAUCACUUUAUUUAUUUUUUAAAACUUCAAUUUAUUUCCUAUUUUUAGUUAAGAAGACCCAAAAAACUUUAUGAGUCAACCCCCAUUUUUCCCUUAUCUUUUGAACAAAAAUAAAGGUAACUUGAGAUUUUUAAUAGUAAAGAAGAUAAUUUGAAGAUAGUUAAUUCAUGAAGAGGAUAAUCCGAAAUUUACCCUUGCAAAAAACUAAGGUUAAAGCGUUAAACAUUUUUCAGCAAAUAAUUUACUUUCUACACAAAAAAAUCAUAAUACAAGGUAGGGAUGGCAAUUCAACCCGCACCCGGCCCGGACCCGGAUGAAACCCGGAUUUUCCGGUCCGGGUUUAACCCGUACCGGAUUAAAUAAAAUCCGGAUCCGGAUGUCAUUUUAAAAACCCGCAUGUAUCCGGGUCCGGUUCCGGGUUUAAGUAAACCCGUACAUCCGGAACCCGGACCCGGAUAUAUAUUAAUUUUAAAAAAUUAUUUUUAAUAUAAAUAAAAAGCAAAAAAAACCCAAAUGGUGCCCUAGAAGCUCAUUACACUUUCCCAGCCGCACAAACAUUUCCUCUCUUAUUCCCUCUUCAGCUCAUCUUCAUCUUCAUCAAAUCAUCGUCGCAUCACUUGCCCAUCUUCGCGGCUGUUCAACUUCAACAUCAUCAUCAUCAUCAGCCGUCGUUUCCAUUCUUUUUCUGCCGCGACCGGUAACCAGCUGUGAUACGGGUUGAACGCCGCCUUCGCCAAUCGCAACCGCGGCUGUGUUCAUCAUCAUCAACCGCCGUCACUUUCAAGAACGAUACUCGAAAAUAUUUUGAUGGGAAUCUUGUUUUUGGUCAUUUUAGUAACAGUGUGUGCAAGUGCGAGUGAGAGAGAGAGAGAACGUGGCUUACUCGAUGCCACUUAUCAUGCUUUCAUCUUUUUUCAUCCAGUGCGGGGUCUGUCUUUGUUGGCUUUUUGGAAAACUUGUUGCUUUUAAUGGUGUAUUACUUCUUUUGAAUAUCCAAUCAAUGUAAACUUAUUUACAUUACCCCUCCAGUUUUCCCAUCACCAUUAAAAGUGCUUUGGUUGCUCCUUGACUGUGCUUUGGUUGCUCCUUGACUCCUGACUUCCUGCUCGCAACAAAAGCUAGUUCUUUAGCUCUCUUUACUAAUUGAACGAGUCACCACAUUGGGUUGCUGAUUCUGGGCAGCCAAACAAAAUUGUUGUUUUUGUUAAUUAGUUUCCAGAUGAAAUAAUUUUUCUUUGAUUUGCUGAAAUCCUGGAUAUGUAUUUCUAUUUGAUUUUUUUAGUCGAAUUUAGUUUUUUUUUUUAAAUUGGAUUCAUCAAUCCGGGUUGGAAACCCGCAGUCCGGAAACCCGGAUUUUUCCGGGUUGAACCCGUACCGGACCCGGAGUGGAAAAAUGCGGGUUUAUUUCCGGAUCCGGUACAGAAAAUAUUCGUCCGGGUCCGGAUCCGGAAUGACUAAACCCGGACCCGGACCCGGAUUUUGC
rnacentral:lncRNA from 1 species